AUUUGGAUCCUUUUCUUUGUUUAUUUGAUAAUUAAAUUUGAUACUUAAGGACCGUCAACAAACUCCCCCAAGCUUACCUCUUGCUCGUCCCUGAGCAAGGAUAGACUCAGCGAUGGAUUAGAAGUUGUUGCAAUAUCUUUAAAAAUUGACGGUACACAUGCUUUUUAAAUAAGAUCUCAUCUCUGAGUUAGAGUAAACUGUCAAGACUUAAAACUUACUUACUUUACCUUCACCAUGGGACUUGUAACCGUCACUUCCAUCUUGAGUAGUUAAAAGAUAGAAUAGUCUAGUCAAGUGCCAUGUCUCUUAUUCUUGAUCAGCUAUAGCUCUGGAGUUUUUGCAGAUUUUCAAAUAAAACUCAGAGAUUCCUUGUAUGAUUCUUUCAGAUCUCUCUUUUGUGGUAUUUCUGGAUCCUUACCAAGGCAGUGAUGGUAUAUGCCUUCUCUCAAGAUAUGUAGUAUUUGUGGUAUAAGACAUAGUGAAAUUGCCUUUUCUCUCACCCUACUCAAAUAAGGCUUUAAUAUCUGGGGCUCAUAGGUGGGAGAUAAAGUAUACAUACUUACAAGACAUUUAUUGCAUAGUCAAACCAUGGAUCCAAAGAAACAAAUCAAUAAGUCAAAUCAAGAUGUGCAUGUGUGGCGAAUGAAUGGUGUAUGGUGAUGAUGGUGAUAACAAUGGUGAAAGCCUAAUUCUACUUUUGCUCAUUUGAGGGGAUACAUACCUUCCUUGCUUUUUGAAACUUUAUGAGGAGAAUGAGAUUCUCUUCUUUUUUUGUUUUUCUUUCCUCUCAGGUGGGUAUCUUGUACCCCUAAUUCUACUGUCGGACACUUGUCCAUUUUUGCCGCUCGUCUCACUUUUUCUUUUCUUUCGAGGUUCCGGGCACUUGCCCCUUUUAUUUCCUCGUAUUUAUUUUUUUUAGAGCACUCAUCUCUUGAGAUAAUAUAGCAAGUGGUAGUAACAAGAUAACUUGAGCAUUUAUUUCACAAGGAAAAAUAGAAAUAUUUUUGGCUAUUCUCUCCCGGAUUAGGAGUAGAAUAUUUUUAGGUGAUUCUGGAGAUGGAAAUGAAUGGAUAUAUGUGGAUGGUACUUCUAGAGUAGAAGUAGCAUAUAUGAGUGAACAUGCAAGUGAAUUUUGAUUUUAACCACAUGACAAGCUCCUAAGGGUCUACACAGCUUGACCACACUCAAUGCUCAUAAGCAGUAAAAAAGGUAAAUGUAUGGUUCAUAGUCUAAUAAGCAUGUAUAUAUGGCUGUGGUAGGAUUUUAAACUCUCAUCAUACAAGAACUCAUCAUGCAACAUUUUAAAUAUUUUCAAAGAUAAAAAUCUUCAGAAUUCUAGCAUCUCUAGGAACAGAUAAACAGCAGCUCAACCUUCGCAUAUCGUAUCCGUUAACAACUUAGACUUCAGAUCAAGUUUUCAUCCCACAAGUUUAGGUCUAGAGCAAGCUUUAAAUUAUAACAGUUAUGUCAAACUUGAGAGAGAACUUAAAAUGUGCAAAUUAGGCAGAGCAACUAUUCAUCAUAUCCAAGCUUGAGUUUUAUUUAGAUACAUAUUAGCAUAGCCACUUUAUUUAUUUAUUAAACACACUAAGCAAAUGAUAUAUAUAUAAGCAUAAAAUCUUUAUUUGGUUUUUCCUAGUUUAUGUAUAUUUAUAUUCUAAAAUAGUAUAAGUAUAAAGAUAGAUAGAUAGAAAUACUUAUCGGGAUAGAUGGGGGUGCUCUCCCCCAAGCUCAAUUUUGACGUAAUUUCUCUUGAUGUAGCUAGCAGGUGGCUGAGGUGCAUUCUGACAGCGAUUAGAAUGUCCUCCGUCUGCUAGUCUUCUUGAUUCUUAAAUUCUGUGGAGCUCAAACAGACAACAAAGCUUGUGGAACUGAUUAAGUGUUAGCAUAAAUAUCUAGCCUUUAUCAUGUUGAGACUCCUUAAUAAUUGUUACUCCUUGUUUUUAUAUUUUUAUUUUAUAAAGGAGAAAUGAUAUAUUUAUUUUAUUUUUAUGCCACCACAGUGAAUGUACUUAUGGGUUUUAUGCCACUCGUAUACUCACAUGGCACUUUGUAUUUUUCACAUUUUUAUUUUCUUUUUAAGAUAGUAUGAAGAUGAUUCACUAAGUAGACUAUUUUAAAAUAAUUGAAAGGGAAAGGAUAACUACCAAGUUUACCUCUUGGCAAGGCGUUCGGUGUUUUUAAGUCCUUCGAACAGGACUCUCCAUUUUCUCAAUUGUCCUAGGAUUCGUUGGGUGGCGUAGUCGGUACUUCCGGCGGCGCCUCCUCUUCAUGUAUAGUUAUCUUCUCUUUCCAUACCUGACUCGGUGCUUCGGUCUCCUCAGGAUAAUUCUGUUUAAACUCUACGUCUUCUGACCUUACAACUUCUCCUUCGUAGUCUGCCCAUCCGUCCUUGAUGAUCUGCCUCCUCUGGUUGCGGUUGCAUCGCUUUGUUACCUACUUAGAUUCUUCAACAAUAUAGUUAGGGUAAAUAAAAUAACGGCUGUUGACGGUGGAUAUACCAUAGAAAUCCACAUACAAAACACCGUCAACAUGCCUCGGUUGCAAGGGGAAACGACAUGACAUGAACAUAUUUUAUCCAUAACUAGUUCCACUUGUACUCUUAGCUUGUUUAUGCAGGAACAACAAAUUCAAGACAUUAUUUGACAAAGCCAACAUCAGAAUCAUCAAGAGGAGAUCGAGGGGACAACAGGUGACACCCUGGGCCCACAGGGGGGGGGUCGCCCGACCCCUCUUUGGUGGGACCCAGGUGUGCCACCUAGUCCACCGACAUAAGGGACCCCUGUGGACACUGCUGGUGGGCCCAGAGGCCCAGAAGUGGGGUCGCCCGACCCCACAUCAAAGGCGGUUCCAGGGUCGGUGGCCUCCCACCGACCUUCCCCACAUGUCCCACAUGUUGAUUUGCCCCUGCCGUUGAUCAAAUGGUGGUUGUGAGGUCGGUUUGAUCCAAGGGUGGAGAGAAGAUGUCACGCGGAUCGAUGACGUGGCGAUGGAGUAACCCCUACUCCAUCUCCCUCUAUAAAAGGCAGCCUCCAUCCUUCAUUUUAAGUGUGCAAUUCCAAGGCCAAGUGCAUUACAAGUUCCAAGCAUACAAGUAGAGUAGUAGUUAGUCUAGAGUGGGAGUUAGAGUCGAGUCGAGCGAAGCUCGGGGUCUCCGGAGUCGUCUUCUGGAGAGUCUGGUAUAGCUCCUGUACCUUUCUACUUUUGUAAGACUUUCCUUUUAUUAAUAUAUUAUUCUUACUUUACUUUACUGAGUUCUUACUUAGUGCAAGUCUUUUAGUCUUGUUGUGCAUUUACUUUAGUAAUAUAGUUGUCUUAGUGAAGUUAGUGACCUGUAACCACUCCUGUGUGUGCAUCAUCGUCCUAUCUUGUAUAGGAGCUCUAGCUAGCUGCAACUAGUUAGCGUUGUAGGAUUAAGUGUGAGCGUGGUGCUCAUACUUAAGAUUACCUUUGAUUACCGCUGGCUUGAACGGAAAGUAGGAGCGCACUCCCUAGUAGGUGACAGAUCGUGGGCGGCAUUAGGUUCUCCUCACGUACAGGCUAGUUCUUAAAAGGUAAGGCGUCCAUAAGCCCAAUAGUCGCUUUCGGUAAGGGGUUAGGUGAAAAACCUUCUAAGCGUCUUACCAGCUCGGCUAUCCCUCGCACACAGUUAGUAAGGCUCUAUCGUAGUUAAGACAAUUAUCUAUUAAAGUAAGUCACAGAAGUCAAGUUAGAUACAUAGGAGUCCUUUACUCACUCGUUGUCCUCCCACCUAGCUAACUCUACCAUUUACCUUUAGCAUAGGACCUUGGAUUCACCACUACCCUUCCUAUUCGUUAUUUACCACCCUUAUUCACUAGUUGAUACUAGAUAACUCAAGGAAUCUCAUUCCCCUUUUUGUUAAACACACUUAGCCGCUUUCCCUUGGGAAAAUAUAAAUUACGAUACCUUGGAAUACUCCUUGGUGAAGUGCUACAGCGGUACAUUCUGUGCGCUUGCGGAAUUAUCCAAUAGUAAAUAGAGUUACCCUACCAGGGCACUUCUGGCGCCGUCGCCGAUAUCCGGUGGUUGCGUUAAGAAGUGUCAACAACGGUGUACCUUCUCUGAGGGGAAGUGCAUAUGGACUUCUCCGGUUCCAAUGUAGAUGAUUGCUUUAACGGUGACGUCAGAUCUGGUGUCUUAGAGUGUCUUCUGAAAAGAGUAUGCGUUGAUUGUGCACUCGACGCUUGGAACACCAGGGUCGUCAUUCUUGGUCAAAAACGGUGACUUAAGUUGAUGAUCUUGGCCUCCAUGAACUGCAGUGACCAUCUUAGCUAACUCGGUCCACACUUGCUUGUUCUUGUUCCUCCUGUUUGUCCUCUUCCUUGAUUCACAUCUAGAUUGAUCUGGGAUUUGUGUAGUCUUGUUCUUGAAGAAAAAUGUCUCCUUCCUCCCUUUGAUGUAGAAACUGAUCUUGGCAGCACUGGCGUAGAUGAUAGCUCCCGAGGUGUUUAAGAAUGGCCUCCCUAAGAUGAUGGGUGCCCUCUCAUCAUUUCCGGUCUCUACCACUACGAAGUCUGCUGGGGCGUACAAGGUACCAACUCGGACACAGAGGUUCUUCAAUAUUCCCUUGGGGCAAGUUAUCGUCUGAUCUGCAAACUGCAAACACAUGGUUGUCUCUAAUAAAGGAUAUGUAAAGAAUUUUUCAUAGAGUACCCUGGGCAUAAUGUUGACACUAGAGCCAAAGUCACAGAGUGCUUCUGGGAAGUCCACCAUGCCGAUGGAGAUCGGGAUGACGGGGCGUCCUGGAUCACCUCUCUUGACCGGCAGAAGUUCAGUAGUGAAUUCAGUGAUGGGGUUACUCCAAUUACCUGCAUCAAACAUGUCUACAAGAUUUGCAGAUUCUAAUCCUUCUGGUUGUGAUGGUAUACCGGGGUUAGUAGUAGGAACAGCAGCAGCUAUUUGAUUUAACUGAGAUUCAAUCAUUUUAUUAAAGCUAAUUUGAUUCUUGAUGGCAGUAGAGAAAUUAUCCAUUCUAUUAUUUAUAUUUUCUAGCAUUUUAUCAUUAGAUGCCAAUUUCUUAGAUAGGUUAUCCAUUAGCUUUCCUUGAUUAGACACUAACUCUCUUAGAGGUGGAAAAUUAUUAUUAUUGUUGUAAGAAUUGUUACCUUGAUAAUUACCUAAGUAGUUAGGCCUCUGUUGAUUCCAACCUUGAUUUUGUUGAGGACGGUUGUAGUAGUUGUUGUUGUUAUUGUUGAUGUAGUUCACAUCCUCAAGCAUCUCAGGGCAGUGAUUGCCUGAGUGUCCAGUAUCUCCACACUCCUCACAAGUCAUGUGAGAGUCGUAGAUGUGCAUAACUUCCUUCUUAUCUCCAGCUUUAUCGUCGAGCUUCUUCAUGAGUAGGUCUAGCUUUGUAGACAGCAUGUCUAUCUCCUUGAGCUGAUGCAUACCUCCACCUCUCUUGCGUGUCUGGGUCCUCUCUUCAUUCCAGCCUUGGUUGGACGCCAUCUUCUCCACAAGAGCUGUGGCUUGUGGUAUGGUAAGUGAUAGGAAUGCUCCUCCAGCUGCAGCAUCCAUGAUCUCUCGGGCACUGUUGCCGAGACCAUGAUAAAAUGUCUGCAUUAGUAGCCUACUCUCCAUUCCAUGAUGGGGACAUUCUAGGAUGUAGUCUUGAAAGCGCUCCCAUGCUUCUAGAACAGAUUCAUCAUUUUGUUGCUAAAAACUUGUAAUCUUCCCACGGAGAGCAUUGGUCUUGCCCAUGGGAAAGAACUUAGCCAGGAAGUUUGUUGAGCAGAGUGCCCACGUAGUAUUAUUCUCCUUUGUAGCGUAGAACCACUGCUUCGCUCUCCCUAAUAGUGUGAGGGUAUAAACCCCUAUACGCUUACGGCUAGACUUGGGCCAGGAGGCUUGACCCAUUACGAGACAAGCUCAAGGUUUGAUCCGACGGCUUGGAGUUUCGCGCAAGGAAACAAGGCGUGGAGAUCAAGCAGGAUUCUAGUCGGUUAGAAUAGGAAUUGAUAUCGAACUAUCUAUGGCAAUUGUAACCGACUAGGAUUAGUUUCCAGAUCUGUAACCCUGCCCUCCGGACUAUAUAAGGAGGGGCAAGGGACCCCCUAGGACACAUUAUUCUCUCAACACAAAUCAAUACAAUCAGACGCAGGACGUAGGUAUUACGCCAACUCGGCGGCCGAACCUGGAUAAAAAGCUUGCCUGUGUCUUGCGUCACCAUCGAGUUCGUAGUUUGCGCACCGUCUACCGAUAAACUACUACCGUGGGUAUACCCCAAUGUAGACUGCCGACCAGCUUUCGUCGACAGUGGCGCGCUAGGGAGGGGGUGUGCGUGCAACUUCUCCGGCGAACAAGAUGGUCACAAUCCCAGCUUCCGCGGCCGUUCCUGAAGGCCUCAUGUUCACCGUCGGCCAGAUCACGUGGACGACGCGCGGCGGUGGUCUCACGACCACGGUUUCGGAAGGAACCCAGAUCCAAUCUCGGAUCACGUCGGCUCCGACCACUCGGGUGACGGCUCCGAGCGCCCGACCACCGCCCCCGCUCUUCAAGGGGAAGAAGAUCGACUGCUCAGACCUUCUCCAAGCACUUGACCGCGCCGAUUCCAAGCUACUUGAAGCCUCCCAACUAGUAGAUGGAAUCUUGCGCCAGCCUGAUCAAGCCGCCCCAACGGAUUUUUUCAAAUCCCACCGGCCAACUCGUGUCGUUACACACGAACGGCAGGGAACGUCUCUGACGAUAACCUCGACUCCCUCAGGACGAUCUGUCAAGACCAAGGUCAACCCGGAGGAAGAUUACCCUCGCGGUCUGAACAACUCGGCUUCUCUCUACUCGAGACACGUCCGAUCCCUCUUUAACAAAGCUGGUUGGUUGCCAAAGGGGAGCGGUCGACCAGCUCGUCAUUACGUCAACAUGGUGACGAUCCAAGAGCUACGGGACGGCCAGGCUUCCAGUACAAAUUCGAGCACUGGUUCCGUCCCCACUGAAGUCAUAAAUUCCGAGGACGAGGACUAUGUCUUGGAUUUCCCGUCACACCCUCCGGGCUUCCCUCGUUUCCCGGUCUUCCCACCCCGGUGAGGAGACAUCGUUUUCAACGUCAGCGCCGACGAGCCGGUCGUUGACGGAGAAACAGACGAGCAGUGGCAGCUCCGCGAGCAGCGUAACGCCGAUCGCGCCCGACGACGCGCGGACGAGUAACGCCAAAUCCCGCCGCAUAAUCUCAGCGACGCUUUUGACAUGGUCGGAGAUCAGCAAGUUUAUAAAACGCCGAGCGCCAAUGUGGCCGUCGCUAUGGCUAAUCUAGACCGGCUCCCUGAUACUCCUGAGUGCCAAGGGGUCCGAACCAGUGUCCGAGCACACCUGAUCGCCGCAAUGGGAUAGACAGCCACUCUGCUCAAAAGAGUCCAGGCCGUAUCCUAUACAGAAGCCACCUCCGACCAGACUCACCGUAGUCGGACCUCACCGCAGCCCAGCAGGCACCACCGCAGACGUUCCCCCGACAACCAUCGAAUAGAUUCACUGCGUAACGACGGCGGUCGGGAUGCUGGCGGUCACCACGAGCAGAAUCGCAGGUGCGGUCAAGAAGUAAACCAGCACAGGGAUCUUCGAUAUAACAUCCCUCCCAAAGAUGCCCGGGACCGCAUUAACAGGCGCGCCAUGGAGAGAGCAGUCCACGAAAACCUGCACCGUAUCGAGUAUGAUGCAACGCACGGCCCCCCGGGCCUGAGACAGUUCUCCUCACACCUCUGCCAGGUCGUGUGGCCCCGCAAUUUCAAGCUCGAGAAACUCAAAAAAUACGACGGCAAGGAAAAUCCAGAGAACUGGAUCACUCUCUACGAAAUCGCCGUCCGAUCAGCAGCAGGGGACGAGCACGUCAUGGCCAACUACUUCCCAGUAUUCCUCGACCAGGCUGGUCAUGAGUGGCUCCGUCGCCUGCCCGAGGACUCCUUCGACUCUUGGGAAGAGCUACGCCAGGCUUUCAUCGACAACUUCAUCGCCACAUGCGAGCAGCCUGGAAACAAGUACGACCUCGAAAGGAUAAGGGACAGAAAAAAUGAACCUCUGCGCGAUUACAACCGACGAUUCUCGGAUAUGCGCCUUAAGAUCCCGAAGAUUUCCCACGACGAGGCCAUCUCUGCCUUCAUUAAAGGCCUGCGUUUCCAUGAAGCACUGAGGAACAAGCUGUUGCGCAAAAGGCCAACAACGAUGGCUGAGCUCCUCGCCACGGCUAAAAAUUACGCCGAUGCCGACGACGCAGAAAAACUAAUCCGGGACGAUGCGAGAGGUCCCGACCAGCCUCCCCGGCGAGAUGACGGCCGUGGUCGUUUCGACAACAGGAACCACCGCCGCCCCGACAACCAUGAUCACAGAGAAGGUUGGGAUAGGCGGCGCAACAAUCGCGACGAUUUCAGAGGAAAGCGCCCCCAUGACCACGACCACGAAGUGAAUACGGUCAAGCGUCCCAACGGGCGGCGGGACUACCAAGAAGAUAAAACAAAACGUUGAAGGGACCGUGCCAAUUGCAUCCAAAGUCUAAUCAUACCAUGGAAGAGUGCCGCGUCCUCAAAAACAUCUAUAUGCGGCGGGCUGCCCAAGACGACUCUGCCAAGAAAAAUGGAAAACGAGACGGGCACGACCACGAAGACGAGGACGAUGACAAAGACAGGGACCCUCGACACCAAUAUGUCAGCCCCACUGACGUGGUCCAUUCCAUCUUCAGAGGCAAGGUCUCCAUCGAGUCCAAACGAGAAAGAAAGCUCCUAAAGAGAGCCUGCCUCAACAUAGACAGCACUGAUGGUCUGAUUGCCGAUCCAAAAUUUCCUCCCUGGUCGCACAGGGAGAUCUCCUUCAGUAGGAAGGAUCAGUGGGCCGCUAUCCCGGAACCGGGUCGUUUCCCUCUAAUCUUGGACCCUUGCAUUAACAGCAUCAGAUUCGAGCGCGUGCUUGUGGACAGAGGGAGCUCCAUUGACAUCCUCUUCCGCAACAGCUUGCCCGCUCUCAAGAUAUCUCCGGCACAAUUAAAACCUUACGACGCUCAAUUUUGGGGAGUCUUGCCAGGUCAGAGUUCAGUGCCCCUCAGAUAGAUAACAUUGCCUGUCCAAUUCGGCACGCCCGACCACUUUCGGACAGAGUUCGUCAACUUUGUGGUCGCCGACUUCGAUGGGACCUGCGACGCUAUACUGGGCCGACCAUCGCUAACAAAAUUUAUGGUGGUCCUGCAUUACUCAUACCUGGUCCUCAAAAUGCCUACUGAGAAGGGCGUCCUGACCAUCAGAGGCAAUGUCUACACUGCAUAUACUUGCGAGGAAGAGAGCUUCAAGAUCACUGAAGCAAUUGAUCUCUCGAUCCGGAUGAACCCAAGCCGCACAGCUACCUCUCGACCAGCUCCGACUACCCGAGCAGGAGACCGCCAGGAAGAAUUCAAAAUCCAAGGAGUAUAAAGAAGUACAACUGGUCGACGGCAGCCCCGAGAAGACGGCCCUCAUCGAGGCCAAUCUGGACCCCAAUGUUGGGUAUUUUAAACGCAAACAGAAAAAUCCGCAAGCGCACGGAUACCGAUGUAGCUUUCACCCGGGAGUAUUCCAGAGUAUCGAUUUUCCACAGAGAACGUGAGUGUACUAAUUAAGAUCCAAGAUCGCCCAAGGAUAACUAUAUAAUUAUUUUUGGUGGGAAGAGAGGAAGUUUCCUGAGAGUUCUCUAGUUGAUCUAAGAAUCAAGAAUUACUUCAAGAUUAUCUAUAUCGGGACAUCAGAGCACUAACCACAGAAAGAGAUGAGAAGGGGGCUAGGAAGCUCCGACUACGGUCCUACAAACACCGAUCCGAACGAGGUGGAAUACGUCGACCGUUAGGGCUAUCACUACCCUAGGGCUACCACAACAAUCCGUAGGAUUGGGUGCAAUUCCAGGUAAUCGCAAGACUAAACACCAUGUGUAAUCUAUUAAUUACUACUCUAGCGUUAUAAAGACUAGAGCAAUUGAUGCAAGCAGGAAUCCAAUAAAUAACUUGAAUGUAAAUAGAAAGUGAUUAAAGAACUCAGGAAUUAUGAAUUAAAGAACUUGGAGAACGAUGAAGAACGAACCAGUUGCUACAAAAGUAUAAUGUUGAGGAAGAUCCGACAGAUCCGGCUCCUCCUCCUCUGCUCUCCUCUUCUCUCUCCCUAUUUUCUAGAUUACAACUAGAACUAACUAGAACUAGAACUAGAGGAACUAGAACUAGAACUAGAUGAACUAGAACUAGAACUAGAUGAACUAGAGGUAGAACUAGAAGAACUAGAGGGAUCCUCUCUACUUGGAUGAAGAAUUGAAACCCUAGCUUUGAUUCUGUAGAAGAGGUAUGAUCUCCAGGGGCCUGGGGGUCUGGUUUUAUAGUCCCUUCAAGUGAAUCUGGGCCGUCGGAUCAAACCGACAUUGAUCGCACGGUUUUCCUUAAUCCUUUAGGUCGGUGGAGCAUAAUCCGCGAAACGUGUCCUGAUUGGGCACUGUAGCUGGGCGGGCGCCCAGGAGAGUUGGGCGGGCGCCCUGCCUCCGAGCCCGAUUGCCUUCCCGUUCGUUCCCAUGGCUUCUGGAGUCUUCUAGAUGAUAGAAAUUUGUGCAACACGUUCAUAUCUCUAAGUAAACCCGACGUGUGGGCCUUUCCACCGUAUUUCCUGAUAACCCCCUGCAGAAAUAGACAAACACCAAAAUUCGUGGAAUUAUGUCAGAUAAAACCCUAAGUCUAGGUGUUGGUUGCAUUUGGAUCCUUUUCUAUGAUUAGUUGAUGGUUAAAUGUGAGCAUUAAGGACCGUCAACACCCAAAUAGGAAGACGCGCUCGUCAGGUUUCUAAGGGACAACGUGAGCGUUUUCGCACGGAAACCCGCAGACAUGCCCGGCGUCCCACGAAACCUGAUCGAGCACUCCUUAAACGUCUCGAAGACCGCAAGACCAAUCAAGCAAAAGCUGCGACGGUUCGCUCGUGACAAAAAGGAGGCUAUUAGGACAGAAAUAACACGGCUUCUAGCAGCCGGAUUCAUAAAAGAAGUGUAUCGUCCCGAUUGGCUCGCCAAUCCGGUCCUUGUACGCAAAAAGAAUAAUGAAUGGAGAAUGUGCAUUGAUUACACUGAUCUCAACAAACACUGUCCUAAAGACACUUUUGGUCUCCCUCGCAUCGACGAGGUGGUCGACUCAACGGCCGGAUGCGAACUCCUUUCUUUUCUAGACUGCUACUCUGGUUAUCACCAGAUCUCGCUAAAGGAAGAAGAUCAGAUAAAAACUUCUUUCAUUACUCCUUUCGGCGCAUACUGCUACACGACCAUGUCGUUCGGACUCAAGAACGCAGGAGCCACCUAUCAAAGGGCCAUCCAGCAAUGCCUCCACGACGAGAUUCGUGAUGACCCCGUCGAGGCCUAUGUAGAUGACGUCGUCGUCAAAACAAGGGAUGCAAGCACCCUAAUUGACAACUUAGACCGAACCUUUAAGGCGCUAAACAGGUACAAGUGGAAGCUUAACCCCAAAAAGUGCAUCUUUGGCGUCCCUUCCGGUCUACUGCUCGGCAACGUCGUCUGCCGCGACGGCAUACGCCUGAAUCCUUCAAAAGUAAAAAGCAGUACUCGACAUGUGACCACCUAAAAAUGUUAAGGAUAUUCAGAAGCUCACCGGAUGUAUGGCCGCACUCAGCCGCUUCAUCUCAAGACUAGGAGAAAAAGGCCUCCCCCUUUCUUCAAACUCCUGAAGGCAUCGGAAAAAUUUUCUUGGACAGAAGAAGCCGACACUGCUUUCACCCAGCUUAAGACUUUCCUCACUUCACCGCCUGUUCUUACAGCGCCUCAGCCCAAUGAAGACUACUCCUUUACAUUGCUGCAACCGACAGAGUUGUUUCCACGGCAAUAGUGGUCGAGCGAGACGAGCCAGGUCAUGUCUACAAGGUCCAGAGACCCGUUUACUUCAUAAGCGAAGUCCUAAACGAGUCCAAGGCCAGAUAUCCACAAAUACAGAAGCUCAUAUACGCAGUUUUAAUAACAUCGAGAAAGCUAAAGCACUACUUCGACGGCCAUCGAGUCUUGGUAACCACCAGUUUCCCUCUUGGAGACAUUCUGCGCAAUAAAGACGCCAACGGCAGAAUUGUAAAAUGGGCAAUGGAAUUAUGCCCAUUCUCCCUGGAAUUCCAGAGCCGCACCACAGUCAAGUCUCAGGCCCUGGUCGAUUUCAUUGCAGAGUGGACGGAUCUCAACGAGCCUCCCGUUCCCGACGUCUCCGACCACUGGUCGAUGUUCUUCGACGGGUCCUUGAACAUCAACGGCGCCGGUGCGGGGAUUCUUUUCGUGUCGCCUAACAAGGACAAACUGCGUUACGUCCUUAGAAUCCUUUUUCCGGCAUCAAACAACGUCGCCAAAUACGAAGCAUGCCUUCACAGCAUACGAUUAGCCGUUGAGUUGGGAGUCAAACGCCUUUAUGUCUAUGGCGACUCCGCUUUAGUUAUCAACCAACUCAACAAGGAAUGGGACGCAACCCACGAGAAGAUGGAUCUCUACUGCAAAGAAAUUCACAAAUGGGAAACCAACUUCUACGGCAUAGAGUACAUCCACAUGGUCCGGGAUAAGAACCAGGCAGCAGAUGCGUUGUCAAAGUUAGCGUCAUCUCGGGCACAAAUCCCGCGAGGUGUUUUCGUCCAGGACAUCCAUGAGCCAAGUGUGGGCAAAGACCCGGCCGAAAAGCAACCUAUUGAGGCAAUGCUCAUAGAUGACGUUACUCCGGCACCCGGUAACCGUGAUUGGCGCACCCCAUUCAUCAGAAAUAUAUCAGACAGGUCAGGUUUUCAGGAUAAAACAGAGAACGAGCGCCUCAUUCGACGAUCAAAGAAUUACAUACUGGUGGACGACAAACUUAUGCGAAAAAAUGCAAGUUCUGAAGUGCUGCUCAAAUGCAUAUCCCAGGACGAUGGCAUCUGUUGACGGUCCUUAAGUAUCAAAUUUAAUUAUCAAAUAAACAAAGAAAAGGAUCCAAAUGAAAUCAACAUCUAGACUUAGGGUUUUAUCUGACAGAAUUCCACGAGUUUUUGUGUUUGUCUAUUUCUGCAGGGGGUUAUCAGGAAAUAAGGAAGAAAGGCCCACAUGUCAGGAUUACAUAGAGAUAUCAACGCACCGUGCAAUUUUCUACCAUCUAGAAGACUCCAGAAGCCACGAGACCGAAGCGGAGGCGAAACGGGGCGAGGACCUGGGCGCCCGCCCAGUUUCCUUGGGCGCCCGCCCACCUGUGGAGCCCAAUCAGAACUCUUUCUCUCGGGAGAUCUCCACCGACCUAUUGGAUUCAGAAUAACGUAGUACCACCUCGCCUACCGACCCAAAAACGCAUAGAAGGGGAGGACUAUAUAAGGAGACCCCCCUGGCCACUGGAGAAGACAAGAAAUUAUCAUAGAGAUUGAGGGGUGCCCUCGAAGGAAAACCUCUUCUCUAAAUAAUAUUUCUUUUUAGGCUUAGCAACCAAUGUAAAGUAGAAAUAGAUCUUCUAGUUUCUACUAGAUUGAGAGAGAUAGAGUGGAGGUGUGGAUCGGAGGAAGGCUGGCCUGUCGGUGUCUACUCCGAGUUGUACCUACAGGAUCAAGUCUUCUAACCCGAGGCUUGCUUCUAAGAUUCUUCAGUAAUUCGACUUCUAAUUCUAGUAAGUUCUUGUUUUAUUGUUCUUUGGUUUAUGAGUUUACUUUAAUCCUCUUCCGGUUGAGUAUUAGAGUAAUCACUUGCUGGCGUAAACGUGGUGUUUAGGCUAGGGUACUCAUAGAUAUCCCCUGACUAGCUGGACCGUGGUAGUAGCGAGGAACGUGACAUUUCCGAGUUACCUUUGCAGAUCACAUCUCGUUAGCAGGACGGGUAGGUUUAUAGGUGCGGGUCGAACAUCCUUUGUGUUGUCUAGAUUCCGUGAGCCUCCCCAAUAGAACAGUAGAUCAUCCUUACCAAGGUUAGAACGAGACUACGGUUGCAGUCUUCUCUAUACAUCACUCACAUCGAGAAACAUUCUUGUUAGCCUAAAGGGAUAGUAGCAAUAGAUUUGGUUAGUCAGAUGCACCCUUUCUCCCAGUGGUAAAAAUAUAAAUACGAUAACUCUGGAUAACCUCUCGGGUGAAAUGCUCACCGAUAUCCAUGCGCUUGCGUAUUAUUUUCUAAUUGCGUUACCAAAUAUCAACAAGCAUUUCUGGCGCCGUUGCCGGGGAGAAAGACGGUUUGCUGAGAUAACUUUGAAUCUUGCUAUUAUCUUAUAUUAUACUCUUAUACUUUUAUUCUUUUAUCUAUUUAUUUUUAUCUUUAUGGAUAACUCAAAUUCCAUACCUAUUAUUGAAUUCUUUGCACCUUCGGAGACCAGCCAUAGACCAUGGGAGUCAACACGUCCUGCCCCUAAUUAUGAUCUGUGCCCGGAGUUGAUUGCAAUAGGUCCAAACCAACCCUUUUCUAUAGCCGAGGUCCUAUCUUUUAAUCAAGAAGAUAAUGCACUUUUAGCUACACCUAGGGAAUCUGUUAAUCUUUUUAUAAAUUCUGGUUUAGACCUAGCCCUACAAGACCAUGUUUUUCCUAGAUAUUUUCACAUUGGUCUUAAUCAUAUAACCAUUAGUAGAGUCCUUCUUUCUUUAUCUAUUAGUAAAGGAAGGUAUGUCUUCAUUCGUGGACAUCCUUCUUGCACUAAUCUUCAUAGAAAAAUCUUAGAGAUAGAGAAGGAAUCAUCUCCCAUACAAGGAGAGGAAGUUUCAAUAGCUGAUUUCCAAACAUUUCAAUCCCAUGAUUCGGCUAUCCAUCCCAUCCUUAAGCUUAAUAAAUUCUACUAUGCUCUUUCUCUUGAACCUCCCGAUAAUCCUAUGAAUCUCUCUAGACAUCCCAUGCAUAAGAAGGAGGAUCGAGAAGAGCAACAUCAAUGGCUAAAGGGCAUUAAAAAUCCAUGUGCUAUCACCAUUGAAUGGAUAGAUAAAACAAAUUUGAGAGACAAUCCUAGAGGAAUUUUAAGCAUUCAUGAAGAAUCAUCCUUGGAGUUUGAGAAUGAGAGAAACAACAGUGAGCAUGGAAGUUAUUUCAUAAAUACCUUACCAAGUCCUUGCUCAUAUAAAACAUCUCCCCAAUCAAUCGGUCUCUCCAUCAUCACCACAUUUGAGAUCUUCAACCCCCUCUUCCUUUCUAUUUAUAAAAACUUUAAAAGGGCGGUUGUCGAUGCAUAUGUCUAUAAUAAAUAUUGUAGAUCUCGUUGAGUUGAUCUUGAUAUAGGUAGGUGUUGGAUGCGAAACCACUUCACCAACAUAAAUUGAUGGUUUCCCAAGGAUAAGCUUAACAAGCACUUAUCAGAUCGUAACAUGAACUUCUAAUUAUUUGCAACAUUGCCUUGUGUAUUGAGCAUAUAAAGAUAAUUGUAGAAAUAUUCCUUCGGGUAUUCUUGCCACUAACCUUUCUAGGAUUGGAGCAAGAAGAUCGGAGGAAUGACAAGCACAAGGUAUGUCCAACCAAUCAUCAUGCAACAUUGAAUUAAAUUCAUCCAAACUUGAAUUUUGUAAAAUUCAAGCUUGGGGGAGUACUUUACAUAAAAACAUCCUUUGCCAUGUUGCUACGUUGGUUGUCCCUACCUUUGAGAGAUGCUCAAUUUGUUGAGUACUAAUUACACUACUUCACCUCCACUUGAGUAGAUCGCUAUAAAUGCUCUCAUGCUACCUUUAUUUGCUUUAGUAUAUGUCUAGGUUUGGAGUAGUUUCAUUUAUCUCUUAAAUCAAGCAUGGUGCUUAGUUUAGGAAUAAUGAUCUUACUUCCAAAGGAUUUUUAAAUUAAGCAUGGUGCUUAGGUUAAAAUGCCCUCCUAAAUCAAAUUAGACAUGGUGUCUAGGUUGAUUUUUGAGCCGAUAGUAUGCUAUAGUAGAUUUGGGAUAUUUUGUUGGACUAACCCCUGCAGGAAAACUUUCAAUAUCAACCUGGGAAGUCCUGAGAUACAAACUCAAUAGAGAUAAAGGAGACACAUGAAGUUUAACAAUUUGCACAAGAAAGACGUAGCUCAUAAGAGAUGAUUCAUGGAGGGUGGCACAAACACGAUGCACAACCGCUAAGAAAGGAAAGCUUCCACGAGGUAAUACUGUACCGUCACUCUUCAAGUAAGGUAACAUUUUAAGGUACUUGACUAUCACUUUUAUAAGCUUCUCCUUGGUUCUAGCAUUCACAUAAAUAAAGAGACAAACAUGUAUGAUUUAUAACUCCAAAUUAACCAACCCAAUUAAUUCGACAUGAUUAGUCCUUUAAUCUUUGUUCUUAGUACUACCUUCGUGAUCCCACACUCCUAAUCAUAUAAGCUAAAAUGUUGCACAUUCAAUCUUUGGAAGAUAUAAACAAAACAUAAAUAUAGAUAGAUUAUCUUUCCAUUAGGUUGAGCCAUCUGAUCUAACAAAUGUUUUAAAUGCUACACUCAUGAUCCAUCAACUUUGUCUUGCUCACUAUGCUUAAGGUUAGAGAAGAACAAAUACACUUUUGGUUCUGUUGGUGUUUUCCACCAACAGGGCCCAUGCACUUGAUCUCUGCCUUGUCUCUAUGAACAGGUACACUUCAAACAAAACAUGGAGGAGUUUUACAACUCCCAGAUUCCAUCAAGUGAAGAACCGGGAUAUACGAGCACAAACACAAUGGAGAUCAGACACUUAGUUUCCCAAAGGAAAUAUUGAAGAACCUCUGUGUCCGAGUUGGUACCUUGUACACUCCAGCAAACUUCAUGGUGAUAGAGACUGGCACUGAGGAGAGGGCACCCAUCAUCUUAGGGAGGCCAUUCCUAAACACCAGAAGUGUCAUCUACGCUAAUGCUGCCAAGAUCAGUCUCUACAUCAAGGGGAAGAAGGAGAUUUUCCUUCAAGAACAAGACUACACAAACUUCAGAGCAAUCCCGACAUGAACCAAGGAAGAGGGCCAACAGGAGGAACAGGAACAAGCAAAUGUGGACCGAGUCAGCUAAGAUGGUCACUGCAGCUCAAGGAGGUCAAGAUCGUCGACUCAAGUCACCUUUCUUGAUCAAGAAGGACGACCCUGGUGUUCCAAGAAUCGAAUGCACAAACAAUGGAUACUCUUUUCAGAAGGCACUCUACGACACCGGAUCUGACGACAACAUAAUGGCCGCAGUCACUUAUCAGCUCCUGCAUGGAACCAUGCCCCUACAACCAAGAUACAUUCAGCUUCAAACAAUUUUCAGGUCAUUGACAUGGGAGAAGACAAGUAUGAUCCAUCCACCAUCCUUGGAAGACCGUUCCUAAACACUAUCAAAGCCAUUAUCUAUAUUGGAACCGGAGAAGUCCACAUGCACUUCCCCUCUGAGAAAGGUACGCCACUACUUUAAUGAUUAUAUAGUUGAAGAUUCUAAGCAGGUCAGGACAAGAAGAAGACAACGCAACCGCAACCAGAGGAGGCAAAUCAUCAAGGACGGAUGGGUAGACUACGAAGGAGAAGUGAUAAGGACUGAAGACAUACAACUUGAAUAGAACUGUCCUGAGGAGACCGUAACACCGAGUCAGGUAUGGAAAAUGAAGAUAACUAUAAAUGAAGAGGAGGCGCUACCGGAAGUACCGACUACGCCACCCAACGAACCUCAGGACGACUAAGAAAACGGAGAGUCCCGUUCGGAGGACCUAAAAAACACCGAACGCCUUGCCAAGAGGUAAACUUGGUAGUUAUACUUUUCCUUUCAAUUAUUCAAUUAUAGUUUGCUUAGUUAAUCAUGUUCGUAUUAUCCUAGAAAGAAAAUAAAAAUGUGAAAAAACUGUAAGCCCCAUAUGAGUAUACGAGUGGCAUAAAACCCAUAAGUACAUUCACUGUGGUGGCAUAAAAAUAAAAUAAAUAUUUUUCUGCUUUAUAAAAUGAAAAUAUAAAAAACAAGGGGUAAUAAUUAUUAAGGAGUCUCAAGAUGAUAAAGGCUAGAUAUUUAUGCUAACACUUAAUCAGUUCCACAAGCUUUGUUGUCUAUUUGAGCUCCAUAGAAUUUAAGAAUCAAGAAGACUAGCAGACGGAGGACAUUCUAAUCGCUGUCAGAAUGCUGUUGACUUUCAAAAACACCUCUGCCACCUGCUAGCUACAUCAAGCGAAAUUACGUCAAAAUUCAGCUUGGGGGAGAGCACCCCAAUUUAUCUCGAUAAGUAUUUCUAUCUAUCUAUCUAUCUUUGUACUUAUAUUAUAUUAGAAUAUUAAAAUACAUAAACUAUGAAAAACCAAAUAAAGAUUUUAUGCUUAUAUAUAUUUUGCUUAGUGUGUUUAAUAAAUAAAUAAAGUGGCUAUGCUAAUCUGUAUCUAAUAAAACUUAAGCAUGGAUAUGAUGAAUAGUUGCUCUGCCUAAUUUGCAAAUUUGAAGUUCUCUCUCAAGUUUAGAUAUAACUGUUAUAAUUUAAGGCUUGCUCUAGACCUAAACUUGUGGGAUGAAAACUUGAUCUGAAGUCUAUGUUGUUAACGGAUACGAUAUGGGAAGGUUGAGCUGCUGUUUAUCUGUUCCUAUAGAUGCUAGAAUUCUGGAGAAUUUUAUCUUUAAAAAUCUUUAAAAUGUUGCAUGAUGAGUUCCUGUAUGAUGAGAGUUUAAAUUCCUACCACAGCCAUAUAUACAUGCUUGCUAGACCUUGAGCCACACAUUUACUAUUUACUGCUUAUGAGCAUUGAGUGUGGUCAAGCUGUGUAGACCCUUAGGAGCUUGUCAUGUGGUUAAAUCAAGAUUCACUUGCACGAUUACUCAUACAUGCUACUUCUACUCCGGAAGUACCAUCCACAUAUAUCCACUCAUUUCUAUCUCCAGUUUUACCCAAAAUUAUUCUACUCCUAAUCCGGGAGAGAAUAGCCAAAAACAUUUUCCUAUCCCUGUUAUUCCCUGUGAAAUAAAUGCUCCAGUUAUUUUGGUUACUACCACUUGCUACAUUAUUUCAGGAGGUGAGUGCUCUAGUAAAAAAAAGAGAAAAAAAGAAGAAAAAAAUAGAAAAAAAAAUAAUAAUAAUAUACGAGGAAAUAAAAAGGAGCAAGUGCUCGGAACCUCGAAAGAAAAGAAAAAGAAGAGCAUCUCAUUCUCCUCAUAAAGUUUCAAAAGCAAGGAAGGUAUGUAUCCCCUCAAAGAGCAAAGUAGAAUUAGACUUCCACCACCAUUGUUAUCACCAUCAUCACCAUACACCAUUCGUUCGCCACACAUACACAUCUUGAUUUGGCUUAUUGAUUUGUUUCUUUGGAUCCAUGGUUUGACUAUGCAAUAAAUGUCUUGUAAGUAUGUAUACUUUAUCUCCCACCUAUGAGCUCCAGAUAUUAAAGCCUUAUUAGAGUAGGGUGAGAGAGAAGACAAUGUCACUAUGCUUCAUACCACAAAUACUACAUAUUUUGAGAGAAGGCAUAUACCAUCACUGCCUUGGUAAGGAUCCAGAAAUACCACAAAAGAGAGAUCUGAGAGAGUCAUAUAAGGAAUCUCUGAGUUUUAUUUGAAAAUCUGCAAAAACCCCAGAGCUAUAGCUGAUCAAGAAUAAGAGACAUGGCGCUUGACUUGACCGUUCUAUCUUUUAACUGCUCAAGACACAAGUGACGGUUACAAGCCCCAUGGUGAAAGGUAAAAUGAGUAAGUUUUAAGUCUUAAUAGUUUAUUCUAACUCAGAGAUGAGAUCUUGCUUGAAUGCGUGUGUACUUUUAAGGCAUGAAACCACUGCAGAAACUCUUGAGUUCAUCCUUGCUUAGGGACGAGCAAGAAGUAAGCAUGGGGGGAUUUGUUGACGGUCCUUAAGUAUCAAAUUUAAUUAUCAAAUAAACAAAGAAAAGGAUCCAAAUGAAAUCAACAUCUAGACUUAGGGUUUUAUCUGACAGAAUUCCACGAGUUUUGGUGUUUGUCUAUUUCUGCACGGGGUUAUCAGGAAAUAAGGAAGAAAGGCCCACAUGUCAGGAUUACAUAGAGAUAUCAACGCACCGCGCAAUUUUCUACCAUCUAGAAGACUCCCGAAGCCACGAGACCGAAGCGGAGGCGAAACGGGGCCAGGACCUGGGCGCCCGCCCAGUUUCCUUGGGCGCCCGCCCACCUGUUGAGCCCAAUCAGGACUCUUUCUCUCGGGAGAUCUCCACCGACCUAUUGGAUUCAGAAUAACGUAGUACCACCUCGCCUACCGACCCAAAAACGCAUAGAAGGGGAGGACUAUAUAAGGAGACCAACCCUGGCCCCUGGAGAAGACAAGAAAUUAUCAUAGAGAUUGAGGGGUGCCCUCGAAGGAAAACCUCUUCUCUAAAUAAUAUUUCUUUUUAGGCUUAGCAACCAAUGUAAAGUAGAAAUAGAUCUUCUAGUUUCUACUAGAUUGAGAGAGAUAGAGUGGAGGUGUGGAUUGGAGGAAGGCCGGCCUGUCGGUGUCUACUCCGAGUUGUACCUACGGGAUCAAGUCUUCUAACCCGAGGCUUGCUUCUAAGAUUCUUCAGUAAUUUGACUUCUAAUUCUAGUAAGUUCUUGUUUUAUUGUUCUUUGGUUUAUGAGUUUACUUUAAUCCUCUUCCGGUUGAGUAUUAGAGUAAUCACUUGCUGGCGUAAACGUGGUGUUUAGGCUAGGGUACUCAUAGAUAUCCCCUGACUAGCUGGACCGUGGUAGUAGCGAGAAACGUGACAUUUCCGAGUUACCUUUGCAGAUCACAUCUCGUUAGCAGGACGGGUAGGUUUAUAGGUGCGGGUCGAACAUCCUUUGUGUUGUCUAGAUUCCGUGAGCCUCCCCAAUAGAACAGUAGAUCAUCCUUACCAAGGUUAGAACGAGACUACGGUUGCAGUCUUCUCUAUACAUCACUCACAUCGAGAAACAUUCUUUGUAGCCUAAAGGGAUAGUAGCAAUAGAUUUGGUUAGUCAGAUGCACCCUUUCUCCCAGUGGUAAAAAUAUAAAUACGAUAACUCUGGAUAACCUCUCGGGUGAAAUGCUCACCGAUAUCCGUGCGCUUGCGGAUCAUUUUCUAAUUGCGUUACCAAAUAUCAACAGCAUCAAGCUCCUAGAUGACAUACAUGCUGGAUCCUGCGGCAAUCAUGCUGCCUCCAGAACGCUGGUCGGGAAAGCUUUCCGAACAGGUUUUUAUUGGCCAACCGCGGUCAACGACGUAGAAAAACUGGUCCGAUACUGUGAGGGAUGUCAGUUCUUCGCUAAAAGGACCCACGUACCUGCUCACGAGAUUCAAACUAUCCCGUCGUCCUGGCCUUUCGCCUGCUGGGGGCUCGACAUGAUCGGGCCAUUUAAACCGGCCCCUGGUAACUUCAAGUUCGUCUUCGUAUUAAUCGACAAGUUUUCAAAGUGGAUUGAAUACAUGCCACUGGUCAAAGCAACCUCCGAGAAGGCUGUGGAGUUCCUCAAUCAAAUCAUACACAGAUUCGGGAUCCCAAACAGUAUAAUCACCGACCUGGGUACUCAGUUCACUGGCACCACAUUUUGGGACUUCUGCGAUGACAGAGGCAUAGUCAUAAAAUACGUGUCAGUAGCUCACCCACGGGCAAAUGGCCAAGUUGAACGUGCAAACGGAAUGAUCAUCGAUGCCCGAAAGAAAAGGUUGUACACCGAGAAUGACAGAGCACCUGGUCGAUGGAUGAAAGAGUUGCCGGCCGUGGUGCGAAUAGAUAAGCUCAAUCAUAUUAGUGAUGCGAAUGACAACUCAAAAUCUUUUAUUCCAUUCCUGAUUAGUAAUCAACCUUCCCCGGCAACGGUGCCAAAAAUGCUUGUUGGGUAUUCUUAACAUCAUUACCAAAAGUAAACUUAGUUUUCUAAAUCUAGUAACGGUGCCAAAAAUGCCAAACCUAUCUCUCAUACCACUUAAGCCAAGUUGUCAUCCCCAGCAUGACAUGAGAGACGCGGUAUUGAAAUAUGCAUUGCUCUUCUAAAUAAAUAAUGAAUGGGAUCUUCAAGCGCACAGAUUAAUAUCGAUGUAGCAUUUUAACCGGGAAGUAUUCCAGGUAUCGUUAUUUAUAUUUUUACCACUGGGAAGGGAUUAACAAUCAUCAAUAUUGAUUACAGAAUAGAAUAUGAGAUUGAGUAUCUAUCAUUGCAUGUAUAAUUGAGAACAUAUUAUAUAACUCUUUCAUACAGGGAUAAGUGUCACAUAAAAGAUAUAUGAAAUAAUAAAUAGUGACAAACAUAAUUAAUCUGAUCAGCCACAUAUAAAUAUGAUAAGCACCUCAAUUAGAUACUCUAGAAAGUCAUUAGCAUGGUAUUAGAAUGAACUACAAGAAUAUUUCCUAAGUUAUUCUCAACUAUAUAGUUUAGCAUUAUCAUAGUUAGUGCAAGCAUACUUAGCAAUCAUUGUGAGACAAGACUACGCCCAUGCAUAGUGAUAUUAGCAAGGUAAAUGAGAAACAUAGCAAUCACUCCCCUGUAAUAAUAUUGCUCUGCCAGCCCAAUACACUAGAGGGGGACUAUAUAAGAAUCAAUGAAGCUGUCACUGUCACGAACUACCCCACGAUCUGGCAUAUUGGGUACAAUCGCAGAUAAAUACGGUAUAAGCACCACGCCUACACAAUAUCUAUCAUUUACCCAUGGAUCUGAUGGAUAAACGCUAUACGAUCCUAAGCAUGUAUAUAGAUCCAAUCUAACUAAGCCAAGUACAUAACUAUGAUAAACUAAGAACAAUAUAAUCUUGAAUAUAAACAAGUAGAGCAAAGUCAUAAGCAAUAUAUUGAAGUAGAACAAAGUCAUAUUCAUAAUAUUGAAGAACAAAGAUAAUUAGAAAGCAAUUAGAAGCACAAUUAGAGAAUUACCAAGAAUCCUCUUGACAGAUCCGGAAACCAAUCGAAGAUUGACUCCUUCUAGUUCUAAUCCUAUGUAGCUAUGCUAAUCUAGAUGUCUAAGUGGCUCUAUUCUUGAUCAGGGGCUUCUUCUCCCUUGAGGAACAAUGAAUUAGGGUCGAGAGGCUCUCUCCUCCAGGGGCUAGGGGGUCUGGUUUUAUAGUCCCUUCAAGUGAAUAUGGGCCGUUGGAUCAAACCGACUUAGAUUGGACGGUUAUCCUUGAUCCUUUAGGUCGGUGGAGAUCUCCCACGAAGUAGAGUCCUGAUUGGACUCUCAGAGGGGGCGGGCGCCCAGGGGAACAGGGCGGGUGCCCUGCCUUUGGCCCUGUUUCGCCUCCGUUUCCGUCUCGUGGCUUCUAGAAUAUUCUUGGUGUAAGAUAAUUGCGCGGCACGUUAAUAUCUCUAUGUAAUCCCGACGUGUGGGCCUUUCUUCCGUAUUUCCUGAUAACCCCCUGCAGAAAUAGACAAACACCAAAACUCGUGGAAUUCUGUCAUAUAAAACCCUAAGUCUAGAUGUUGAUUUCAUUUGGAUCCUUUUCUUUGUUUAUUUGAUAAUUAAAUUUGAUACUUAAGGACCGUCAACAAUCUCUUGUAAAUUGGUCAGCUCUGUUACAAUAUUUAUUCUUGAUUGUAACAUCAUUGAGUGCACAAUAAUCUACACACAUCCUCUAAGUCCCUUCUUUCUUUGGAACAAAAAUGACUGGGGCUCCCCAUGGUGAGGUACUAGGAUGUAUAUACCCUUUAUCUAAGAGAUCUUGGAUUUGAUGCUUUAGCUUAGCUAGUUCAUUUGCAUCCAUUCUAUAUGGCCUUUUAUAUAUAGGUGUAGUACGAGGUACUAAUUCAAUGGAAAACUCAAUUUCUCGGUCUAGUGGCAUAACUAGUAACUCCUCUAGAAGACAUCUGGGAAGUCACUGACUAUUUUAAUCUCUCCAACAACAUUGGCCUACUUGAGCUAGAUUCUCUCAGUUCCCGUUGUUUCAGCUUGAUACUCCUACUCCACCUUUGUACCAUAUGGAUGCUUAAACUAAACUACCUUUCUGGCACAUCAAUUAUUCCAUCAUGUUUGGUGAGCCAGUACAUUCCUAGAAUGAUGUCUAUACCCUUGGAUUCCAAGAUGAUAAGGUGAGAAAGGAAAUCUACCCCACUUAUGGAAAUUCUUAUAUUUGGGCAUACCAGCCUACAUAUCAAUUGUCCUCCAAGAGAUUCAGCUAUCAUGUUUCACUUCAAAUGAAUUUUUGGUAUGUUAUGUUGUGCUAUGAACCUGCUAGAUAUAAAGGAAUCUAUUACACCAGAAUCAAAUAGAAACGUAGCGAGAUUAGGAUUGAUGGGUAAUAUAACAAGCACCACAUCAAAAGUGUUCUAAGCCUCCUUUGCAACAACAUGGUUGACCUUUACAUGUGGAGCUUGUUGUUGCGGUUGGUUUGGCUGUUCCUUCUUUGGGCACUUAUUGGCAAGAUGUCUUGUCUUGUUGCACUUGAAACAAGGGCCUAUCUUGCUUGACCCCUGUUGACGGUAGAUAAAUCCUAAUUUUAACCAUCAAGUAGACAUGUAAGUGAAUCUAUACAUAAAACAUCUAGUAGAUAUAGGGUUAUCACUGACAGUAAUCCACAAGUUUUCAUGAUUGUCUAUUUCUACAGGGGGGUCAUCAGAAUAAGAACAAAGGAGGUCCACAUGUCAGAUUUGCAUAGAGAGAAUACAUGAAACGUCAACUCCAGAGUAACCCAAAAGGUUCGAGGAGGCUCCAGACCAAAUGGGAAGCGAAUCGGGUCUAGGCACCAGGCGGCCGCCCGAAGGGCCAGGGGCGCUCGCCCCACUAGCUCCACCAAUCAGGGUGAAGUUUGUGGAUCAGCCUCCACGGACUUUGAGGAUUAAUCUUAAGCGCAUGUUUAAGUCGGUUUUAUCCAAGUGCUAUGGUGAUUUCUAGGGGAUAUAAAUACAAGGCCUGACCCCCCUCAGAAGCUAACUCUAAAACCCUAAUUCAUAAUUUCCAAAGAGAGUUAGUCGCAGAGCGGUCCCUCGAAUGGAUCUAUCUCUUUAGGGUUUUAGCAACAAGAGAGAUUGAGAGAGUAUAGGGUGGAGAUAUAAGUGGAGGAAGUCCGGCCUGUCGGUGUCUUCUUCCUUGUAUCUACAGGAUCAAGUCUCCUAACCCAAGGCUAGGUUCUAGAAUCAUUCGGCAAUUUGACUUCUAAUACUAGUAAGUUAAUGUUCUUAUUGUUAUUUGGUUUGCGAGUUUACUUUAUUCGCUUACGCUUGGCAAUAGAGUAAUCGUUCGUAGUGUAAACGUGGUACUUCUGCUAGGAACACUCGUAGAUACUAGCUAUCUGGCCGGAUUUGUGGUAGCCUUUUUGGGGAAGACACAAUCCUCUAGGGUCUUAGUAAUCAACGUCCUGUCACGAGGUAAGGUAGGAUAUAUGGUGCCGGAGUUAAGCAUUCCCUAAGGUGUCUCUUUUCUCUAGGUACUCCCCUUAGAACAAUAUCUGCACAACUUACCAUAGGUUAGAAGAAGACCGACGAAGGAGUUCUCUCUAUAUCACUCAUAUCUCACUAUCUUGUCUUGCAGCCCGUGGGUAGUAGUUAAGACCAAGGAUAGUCUUUUGCAUGCGUUCUCCCAGUGGUAAAAAUAUAAAUACGAUACUCUGGACUUAUCUCUUGGGUGAAGUGCUCACCGAUAUCUGUGCACUUGUGGAUUAUUUCUUUAGAUUCUUUCAUGUGCGUAACUAAUAUCAACAAGCAUUUCUGGUGCCGUUGCCGGGGAGAAAGACGGUCUGCUUAGAUAACCUAGUCUUAAUCUACCUUGUAUUAUACUUUUAUCUUUUUCUUUUAUCUCAUCUUUUGUUUUUCCUUUUCUUUUCUGUCUUUAUAGAUAACCCAAAUUCCACGCCUAUCUAUCAAAUUCUUGCACCCAUGAGUGCAUGCUUAGAGCCACUAGAGCCCAUGAUUAUCACAUCUAGCUAUGAGCUACGCCCAUGUUUGCUUGCAAUAGCUCAAAGCCAACCCUUUUGUACAACUAGAGUCCUAUCUUCUAAUCAAGAAUGUAAUGUACCCAAGGUCCUAUAUUCUGAUCAAGUAGGUAAUGAACUUUUAGCUACACUUAGGGAAUCUUUUAAUCUUCCUAUAAAUUUAGGCUUAGACCUACAAGACCCUGUUUUUCUACAACAUCUUUUUACGGGUCUUAAUAAUACCACCUUUGGAGGAGUUUUCCUUUCUUUAUCCAAUAGUGAGGAAAGGUUUGUCCUUAUUAGUGGACACACUCCUUGCACUAGCCUUCAUGAUAAAAUCCUAAAGGUAGUGAAGGAAUCAUCCCCCAAACUAGAAGAGGAAGUUUUCAUAGCCACUUUGCAAAUAUUCCAAUCCCAUGAUUUGGCUAUCCAUCCCAAACUAGUAGUACUCCAAAUUCACCAUCAAAAAGAUUUUGGGAGGAGUUUCAAUUUCCCGCUUCAUAGGAAAUCUUUUAGUGCUUAUAGUUUGACUCUUCAAAAGUGAUUUCUUACGAAGCUUUUCAACUCCAAUUCCUUUGGAGGAUUAUUAGAAAGGCUGAAGGAUGGCAAAUCAAGUGAUACCAUAGAAGGAGAGCGAAGCCAUCUAGAAGCCACUCAUGUCCUCUCCCAUUCUAUGCCCACUUUAGAUAUAGAAUACGAACCCGUCUCUAAACCCAUCUGUAACACCCUAGGUGUUAAGAAUGUAUUUAGUCUCAUAAAUCAUUCAUAAGCAUUCUCAUAAAGCAUGAGCAUGGACAUGGCUUCAUAUAAGCAUUGUAAAAUUCAAAUGUGAUUUUAUGUGCUUAAUUAAAAAUAAAUUUAAUUGUGCUACAUUAAUAAGCUUGAUUUAAAAAUGCUUGUGAUGACCAAAUUAGGUUAAGUAAUGUUUUAGAAGAACUAAGAUUAAUUUUGUCUAAUUUUUGCACCUCUAGAAUUUGAGAAAUUGAUUUUAUUCAAAAUUCCACAAAAUGAAUCUAUUUAAAACCUAGAACUAGUUUUAAAUUGUAAUUCAAAUUCUAUUUGGAUUUUGGGGUUACACUUUAAAGCAAAGUUGUAGAGCAAUUUAUUUUGAACAACUUUUUUUUGGGGCAAAGUCUGAAAAUGUUUUAAAUGGGUUAAAAUGUGAGUGGAAAACAAUUGAGAAAAGAAAUUCAAAAGAAUGAAAAGGGGACAAGGGUGCUAGCGGGCCGCCGCAUCGCUUCUAGCCCACUAGCCGAAGCCUACCCAGCCCCCGCGCACACCCCUUCUCCCUCCCUGCGCCAGCGCCCACGCGCGACGGCACCGCCGUUGCCGCCGUGGCGAGCCGGCAGGCCGCGGCCGCCGCGUGGCGGCCAUGCAAUGCCACGGCAGCGCCCUGGUCGGCCACCAGACCCCCUGCCGCUCCCGCCUCGCUCCCCUCUCUCAUUUGGGACGCUCAGCUCUCUCUCUGGCCCUCUCUCUUGCUCGCAGCACCAGCGGCAGCGCCGCCAUGCGCCAUCGCCACCGGGGCUUGGAGCUUCCACUCCUCGCUACUCUGACCCCCUCCUCCGAAUUUGAGGCCACCGGCGACCUCGUCUCACCUCCCCGCACCUCGCGCGUGUGCUCAACCCCACUCGGUAAGCCCUGCUCAGCUACGAGAGCUCACCGGAGUGAGCCUGAACUCCGGCGAACACUCGGCUCGCGUGGCUCUCUCCUUCCUCCACCAUUGGCCUCGAUUCCGAGCGCUCUAGUUUUGCCUUGACCUCACGAGUCUUCUCCCACCCUUGGUUUACGCUCUACCGUCCGGAGCUAGCUGGACCAUGACGAGCAGCGCCACCGUGUCCGCCAUGCUCGACGACGAGCCGUCUUCGGUGCUCAAUAAGCGUCGAUAGGGGUACGGUUGGGUUUGUCGCGCAAUAGGGAGUGUGUUGGUGCCCUUGGACUCGUCGGAAACCUCGCCGAUGGCGAGUUCCCGACCGGUCAACGGCCGCGUACGCCUUGUGCGCCUGACUGGUCGGGUUGGCUGACCCAUUGCCUUUGCGGAGUAGAUUCAGGGUGCCCCUAGUGUUUUAAAUCUGUUUUCGUUUUAUAAAUAUUUUCUAGAAAAUGUUCAAAGCUUGUAAAAAUCAUAACUUGAGUUCUGUAGCUCCAAAAAUGGUGAAAUAAAUUUUGACAUGUUCUAUGAAUUGAGAUCUACAGUUUGGCGCCCUUGCAUGUCAUGUUUGGUUAUCUUUUCUGUGUAAAUAUAUUUAAUCCAUGUUAUUGCUUUUUUCUUAGAAAAUGCACAGUAAAUAAAAUAUGGCACAGAAAAAUUUGAUUCUUGUUCUACUAGCUUAGCAUGGAUGCAUAGUUGCUGGGAAAAAUGUUGUCGGUGUUUUCCCCACGGGGGGUCACACCAACGAGUAAAUUUGUAUGCGUGCUCCCUUUCCCAGAUGGUGAUGCAAGAAGACACAAAGAUUUAUCCUGGUUUGGGCAAGAGAAAGCCCUACGUCCAGCGGGGGAGGAGAGUUUGUGUUAUCUCGCACCUAAGUGCUUGUACAGGGGUGAAUACAAGUGCGGUAUGAAGUGUGUGAGCUCUACUGUGUAUGAUCGUGGUGUUGUGUCGUCCCCGGUUCUAUUCCUGAGUCCCUCCCUUUAUAGCUCCAAGGAGAGACCCAGGGUACAUGUAUAGGCGCCAGAAUAGGAGUCGAUAGCAGCAUGGAGCGCUGACCUACUCGAGGCUUCCGUACCAGCAUGGCCUCGAGCCGUCCCGUCUUGAUAGCCUGGUGAUGAUUACGCGUGCCCCUGCAUUCUGCUCUGCGCGCCGUCUUGUGUUGGUUCAACGGUCGCACGCUUGUACGGUAUGGCGGCAGAUCCGGCGGGGUGGUUGUGGUGUUAUCAGUCGACGCCCUACUCGUCCCCAGGAUGGAACCCUGUUCGGUCGAGGGUCGGACGCCGUGUAAUGUGCCGAUGUCUGGAGUGCUGACCUUGGAUGUCUCGAGGGGGUCCCGAUUAGACGUUCCAUCCUUGUUUCCUGCGUCCUGACAUGCCCUGGGUCGUUUGGUGGGAAGGCUGCAAAAAGAACGAUGGGACAGAUGCCUGUUCCCUAUCACGCCUCUCGUGACCUGUGUGUUAGGUGGGGAAGCGUCAGGCGCAUUUAAUGCCCCGGCUCGCGUGCGCGCGUCAGGCGGCGGGCGGCGUCCUUGCGCUCGACGCCUCCCAGUUCGUGUGAGCCUGUUUCCUAUUCGACGGCAGCUAGCGCUCGACCCCUGAUCGAUUCGCUCGACGCUAUUUCUGUCUUCGAGGUUGUGGACGUUGAAGGCUGCGUAUACGCACGGCCAGAGCUUCGAGUCGAGGGCCUCAUCCUGCGUACGGAUAGUCUUGUUACGUGCAUUGGUGAGGGUACCCCUUAUUGAUACCCUCGACAGUAGCCCCCGAGUCUCCAUUUGAGCGCUGGUGCUCGAGUGGAGGCUUUUACUCUUGGGUCGAGUUUCCGUGGGGGUGCGCGAGCGACCCCGCGGGGGUAGCCCCUGAGCCCUUGAAGGAGUUUUUGACUCCUUCGAGGGUUAUAUUGCCUAUUUUGCAGAAACACUGUCGACACCAGUGGUGGAAGGUUCGGAUUGGCUUGCUUUGUGCGGAGGUUUUGACGUACUCUCGAUAGAGCGAGCGUCUUCCACCCCAGAUCGAGUUCCUAGCGGGUAGUCCAAGUGAGAACCUGUGCCCCUUUCGAUGGGGUCAGCCGUAGCCCGGAGGCGUUCUCAUAAAGCAGGGUCGACGUGGUCGGGGAUACCGGUCUCAUUCGAUAGAGUCCGGCGGCUCGAUGCCUCCCGUCGGGGGGAUUCCUCUCGACUGUCUCGACCCUACCUUGGACAUCGCCAGCGAGUCUUCGAGGCGGGCCUCGAUCUUCGACUGCUCGCUGGGGAUCCCUGACUCCGGUGCUCGAGAUCGGCUGUCGAACCCUUUCGGCGGGCCAGCCAUCGACCCCUCGAGACUCUCGCGGGUACGCCCCUUGGCUUACAAGGGAAGGAAGGGGUCGUGGCGGUUCGCCUUUUUUGCCCGUUGGGCGCGCCUUUUCAGAUGGGUGACGUUACGACACUGCGUUGGCGUGGAAUUCGGAGCGUCCUGCCUGUGAGGGGAAAGAGACGGUUAGGUGGCGCAUUUAUGGGGGGGAGUUACCUCAUUUCCCGGAUCUAUCCGUUAGCGGACUGCUGCCUAUAAAUACGCCAUGACGCCGCUGCGGUUCUUUCUUCUUCCUCCCGCCUUCUCGCCUUCAUCCUCUCGUUGCCUUUGCUCUCUCGCUGCCUUACGCGCGUGCGCACCCCCUCGAGCGGUAGCGGAUCCAUCGUCCUUCCAACCAAGAUGCUUGUGACACUCGUCGCCGCCGACGACUGGCGCCCGUCGUCGAUGACGGAGCGUCGAUUGCUAGAGCUUGAGAAUGAGGGGCUCUUGCGCCGCCGCACCUCGCUGUCGUCGCCAGAGUGGAUCGUGCCGCCGGUGAGUCAUAGGGAGCCCCAGCCGCCCGAAGGCUACGUUGUGUCGUUUGCCAAGUUCCACCGCCACGGCCUGGGCACGCCCCCGAGCCGCUUCAUUGGGGCCCUCUGCUUCCAUUAUGGGGUGGAGCUCCAGCACUUCUCCCCGAACGCCAUCACCAUCAUGGCGGUCUUCGCCACGGUGUGUGAGGGCUAUCUGGGGAUGAUGCCCCACUGGGAUCUGUGGCUCCACCUCUACAGGGGCGAGCUUUUCAACACCCCCACCGGAACCACCGGCGUGAGGAAGCACGUGCGGGCCGGGUGCCUCAACCUGAUGCUGAAAACGAAGAAGACGGAGAGGCCGCGCGAGUAUAUCUUGGUGGGGCUGUCGUCGAACCACGCUGGGUGGGACUCCCAGUGGUUCUACUUGAGGAACGACGAGGGUCUCUUCCCCGCUUACACGGGCCGUCUGAUUACAGAGCGCCCGGACAACUGGACGUACGGCGUCGUCCAAGAGCACCAGUCGCGGCUCGACCCCCUUCUCGACGCCAUGAAGAAGCUGCACCAGGAGGGCCUAUCCGCCGCUCUCGUCCUCUCGGCCGUCCAUCGUCAAAGGGUCCUCCCCUUGAUGUCUCGGCCGUUAAGGAUGGACGAGACGGGGCCGGGCGUCUUGUCCCGGGAUCUCGAGGCUUGCUGGAUGUCUAACGUGGCUCUGGCGAACGAUGAGAUCGCUGCUCGUGUUAGGGCGGCCAUCGCCGGCGACUUUAAGUCGAAGCACGUCAACGUCUUCCCUAUGAGGCCCGACGAAGGGUCGCUGGACCUGGUAUGUUCUUUUCUCGCACAUAGCUCUGAUUCUAGAUUUUCCUCGAUUCUUUUUUAAACUUUCCUUUAUUCUGGCAGGGGCGUAUUGACGUCCGGUCCUCGAGGCCCCCUGUGAAGGAGGAUGAGGUCGAUCGUGACAGGCGGCGCCAGUCCGCCGAAAAGCUGAAGUCCGCCAAGGACUCCGCAAAGAAAGGGGAGAAGAAGAAGAACCUCGACCGCCAAGCAUUGGAGGCGCGUCGAGCCAAAUCUAGGCAAAGGGGGGGGGGCGAGGAAGAAUCCCCCUGCGACGACGAUGAUGACGAUGAGGACAGCGACGACUCUGAGGGGAUGGCGUCGCGUCUCGACCGGAUCCUCGAGGGCCCGCCUCGAGGUGACGUCGACGUCCCCCGAACGGAGACUCCAAAGGAGGGCCCGAGCGGAUCCCACCGCCCUCAGGCCGACACGCCUCCUGCACCCUCGACUGGCCAGGUCGCACCGCGCCCUCCCCCCGCGCCCGCCAAGCGAGAAUUGCUGUGCCAGUGCCAGUGCCUGCACUCGAGGGGCCCGGAGCCUUGACGCGGGGUGGCACGAGGCCCACCGGUCGGGGUACCGGUAGGCGAGCUGUUCUUCCUGUAAGGUAAGCCUUUUGAAGUUGUGAGUCUUGUUUACCCAUUCCCUCGUGUUUCCCCGUACUCUGGUCUUUUCAUGCUCGUUUCCUUCUUUUUAGGCUGAAGCGGACACUCGAGCAGGCCCAACCUUCAAUGGCGAAGAGGCUCAAGGUAGGAGCAGCCUCCAAGGAGCCAGGUUUGUAGUUUGCUUCUGGGUCUUGUGACGUUCUUGUAUCGGUUAUUAUAGUGACCGACCUUUAUUCUUUACUUCACAGGCCCCUCCGACUCUCAACCUUUGGCCGACGCUGGGAGUGCUCAGUCUCGUCCCGAGCCUACUCCGAUGCUGUCGACGCGUGACGAGGCGCCCCGAACUCAGGGGCAGGAAGGAGCCCCCGAGCCUCCCCGAUUGGGUGUCGAGGCGGACCCCAUCACCAUCAGCGACACGUCUGGUGGUAACGAGGCGUCUGGGGACGCCCAACCUAUGGAGGAGGAGGCGUCGACUUCUCUCAUCUCGGGACGGACUCCCUAGCCCGCUGGCCUUCGAGCCCUUGAAGAGCAGAAGGAGAAAAAGACGGAGGGGGAGGAGCGGGAGCGCGAGGCGACGCGGCCGCCACAGGAGCAGCAGCAGCGGCAGCAACAUCAGCAGGAGGAACAGCAGCAGCAGCAGCAGAAGCAGCAGACGCCCGAGGGGCUUCAACAACAGCAGCAGCAGAGGGAACAACAACAGCAGCAUGAGCAGGGGGGGCCAAGAGGAAAGGCCGCAAGGGUCGAAUUUCAAGGUCUGGCCCAACCGGUACCACCGGCGCUGCAAGAGCCCGGCGAUCAGGGGGAAGAUUUGCCGGUGUACGGCCCUCCCACCCCGGCGUGGCUCCUCCCGGGGGCGCCUGCCGCGAUCCGGGCAGAGUCGGGGCGAGCGGAUGGAGUGGUGGCGCUCGCCUGUAUGAUGCGCACCCCCACCGACCCCGAGUCCGAGAUCAAGAGGACGAUCUACGGCAUGGACGGGAUCACCCCAGGGUUCCUCUGGGAGCGUCGAGCGUGGGAGGACCGCUUUCCCUCCGAGGAGGAUGAGAUUGGGUCGUCAGGGAGCAAGGACGGUACCUGGAAGACGGUAGACGACGACGGGCGGUUCCCAUGCCUUGUCGACCUGUUCUUGCGCCACGGGGGCACCCUCGAGACCGUCGAGAAGCUUAUCCGCGGUGUCAAGGCGCGGGCUGAUCGAGAGAUGGAGAACUGGUGCCCCGAUCGGAUUCGUAUCCGGGCAUCCACCGAUCCGUCCGAGCCCAACAUCUUCCUCGAUGACAAGAAGGAGGCCGAGAAGUGGGAACAUGUCGAGGAGCUCCGCCUUUGGAUGAAGCACGUGGUGGGGCUCCUGUCGGACAUCAUCAACAACGGGCUCGGGCCUGCUUAUUUUGUAAGUGUCUUUCAAUCUUUGAUCUCCAUGGAGCCUAUUGGUUUUGUGCUCUAACUGUUCGUCCGCCGGCUCACAGGAUAUGAAGGAGUCCUCCCGCAUCAAGUCGAGCUUCAUCCACGCCACGCGGGGCGGCUGGGAGCAGCUCCCCGUCCUCAAGGAUCAACUCCUCGAGUCGCAGGAGAAACUCCUCAAUUCUUAUAAAGACUGCAUAGCGCUCGAGGAGGAGAAGAAGGCGAGGGAGGCUGCCUUGGUAGAGGCUCGAGAGGCCUCGAAGAAGGCGGAGGAGGAGACGACGCUGCUGCGGGAGCGGGCUCUGACGGUUGAGGAGGCUGCAUCCAGAGCCCGGGAGGAGGCCCUGCCUACAAGAACGUUAUUGCGGACCUGGACAAGGAGAAGGGCCUUCUCAAGACCGACCUGGACUCCCUCCGAGAGUCCUUCCAGAGGAUGAAGGUGGAGCACGUGAAUGGCGAGAUCGCCAGGAGCGCCGCGGAGGAAGCCAAGAAGAAGGCCCUCGAAGAUCUCGAGGCGGAGCGGGCUCAAUCCCGCAGGCUCUCUGACCACGUCGAACGUCUGAAGGGAGAACUGUUGGAGAAGAGUGGGGCCAUUGCUCAGGCUGGCAAGGUGAUCGAGGAUCUCCGCGUCGCCAACACCGAGCUGGCCCGUUCUAACAGAGAGAUCGAGAGGGCCAACACCAGAUUAGUCGGCGAAAACACGGCCCUGGAGGAGAGCGUUCGCGGUACGUUUAUUUUGUCGGAUUUCUUUUUCGAGGUGUGCUCGUUUUUUCCUAAUGUUUCUUGUAUUGGCGUUUGCAGGGCUUAAGGACGAACUCCUAGCGGCCCAAGUCGAGGCCCAUAAUGCUAAGGCCCAGGUCGAGGCGGAGGUUGCUUUGAACCGUCGUGUGCGGACGGCGAUAGACGACCUCUCGACCUCUUGGGAGGUUGAGCCUAUGGACGAGUCGAGGGAGGGAGCUCGAGGCGACGCACUGGUCGACUAGCUGUGCUACUUAGGCGCGACGCUGAGAGAUCGAGUGCGGGACGCCCUCCACAUCGGGGUGAAGCGGGCGAUGGCAGUUGUCUGCUUGGGCUUCUCCUAUGACAUGGAGGUGGUGUCCCACGGCUUCGUCACCGACAUCUCCAAGACCGACGCGGAGAACGAAGAGAGGCUCCACGCCUUGAUCGACGACGCGGAGGCUCCUAGGGAAAGGCUGGCUAAGCUUUUUGAGCCUGAGGUGCUUCCUCCUGAGACUGGCUUGGGCGCAGGCGGGGGUGGUGAGGAUCGUGCCAUGGACUGAGGCCUGCGAGCCUGCGCAGGGUGCCUGGGGCCCCUUGUAUAAUACUUUGUUUAUAUGCUUUUUGAAUGAUACAGUACCUUUUUGUAAUUGCUAAAUGUUUAUUUGUCUUUCUGCUCGAGGUUUUUUUAUUUCUCUUUGCGCCUACGUUUGUAUUCCUUGUUCGAUCUUUCGUAAAAAACAACCUCGAUCGUCUCAAGGGUGAGGAAGUGAGUAGAGUUUCCGUAGCCCGGGGGCGUAGGAGUUCUCAGGCUCGUUGUCCCUCGACCUUUGAGGGGCUCGAGGUGCCUUAGCUACUCGAAUCGUGUAAGGUUUACUAAGUAGGAAGAGAAAUUUUCUUGGCUUUUUUGACGUAUGGGGGGUCGUUCCCCUGGUAGCCCCCGAGGGGGUGUUGACUAUGAUGGGUCAUAGUCGGCGCCCCCUUCUAACGUCGAGAUUAUGACUUGUAAAUCCUUGGUACAAAAAGAAGUUGCUCGAGGGAAAGACUUCAUUUAUUCAUGCAUUCGUUUACAGAGUCUUGGUACAAAAUGUACGUAGGAACGUAAGUUUUGAACUACUAGGGGUAGAAUCGACGUAGCUAUUCGAUGUUCCAUGCGUUGGUGAAGACCGCCACUUCUCGUCCGCUAACUUGUACGUUCCUGGCUUCAAGACCUCGGCCACCACGUACGGGCCUUCCCAUGGCGGGGUCAGCUUGUGGCGUCCUUGAUUGCUCUGCCGUCGUCGUAGGACAAGGUCACCCACGUUUAAGUCCCUCUUUCGUACGUGUUUGUCGUGGUAGCGUCAAAGCUUCUGCUGGUAUCUGGCAGAGUUGAGGAGGGCCAUGUCUCGAGCCUCCUUGUCGAGGGUAUCAACAAGGGGUACCCUCACCAAUGCGUAUAACGAGGCCAUCCGUACGCACGCGCUGCCAUCGACGGCCAUGCGUAUACGCAGCCUUCGACGUCCACAACCUCGAAGACGGAAAUAGCGUCGAGUGAAUCGGUCGGGGCUCGAGCGAUUACUGCCGUCGAAUACGGAAGCGGGCUCGAGCGAACCGAGAGGCGUCGAGCGCAAGGACACUGUCCGCCGCCUGACGCGCGCACGAGAGCCAGGACAUUUAAUGCACCUGACGCUUCCCCACCUAACACUCGGGUCACGGGAGGCGUGAUAGGGAACAGGCUUCUGUCCCAUCGUUCUUUUUGCAGCCUUCCCACCGAACGACCAAGGGCGUGUCAGGACGCGGGAAACAAGGAUGGAAUGUCUAAUCAGGACCCCCUCAAGACCUCCAAGGUCAGCGCUCCAGAUAUCAGCACAUUACACGGCGUCCGACCCUCGACCGAACAGGGUCCCCUCCUAGGGACAAGUUGGGCGUCGACUGACGACACCACAACUACCCCGCCGGAUCUGCCGCCAUACCGUACAAGCGUGCGACCUCAAAACCAGCACGAGGCGGCGGGCAGGGCAGAACGCAGGAGCACGCGUAAUCAUCACCGGGCUAUCAAGAUGGGACGGCUCGAGGCCAUGCCGUACGGAAGCCUCGAGUAGGUCAGCGCUCCAUGCGGCUAUCGACCCCUACUCUAACGUCUACGCAUGUACCCUGGGUCUCUCCUUGGAGCUAUAAAAGGAGAGACUCAGGAAUAGAACGGGGAACACAACACAAGACCACGCUCAUACAUAGUAGAACUCCACACUUCAUACCACGCUUGUAUUCGCCCCUGUACAAGCACUUAGGUGCAAGAUAAUACAAACUCUCUCCCCCCGCUGGACGUAGGGCCUUCUCUUGCCCGAACCAGGAUAAAUCUCUGUGUCUUCUUGCAUCACCAUCCGGGAAAGGGAGCACGCAUACAAAUUUACUCGUUGGUGUGACCCCCCCGGGGGAAAACACCGACAGUUGGCGCGCCAGGUAGGGGCCCUGCGUGUUUUUCAUCGAUUUCCCACUCCUUUCCGGAUGGCUACUCUUGCCUCGCCGUUUCCGCGCUCCACGAUAAUUUGGUUUGGGAGCCUCGAGUUCAUGUCUACGGGCUCCGGCUAUGACAUGAUCUUGCUCUCAGUCAAAGGACCAGGAGGAGCCCGCGUUACGCCAGCACGGUUGAAGGCCCCGAGACGCCCUCACCACCACGCCUCCCCGCCUAAGAAGAGGCGCGGACAGCACCGCCGCGGCCCCUCUGCUUCAGCAUGACCAACAACUCGUGCGAGGCAGGACGUAGGCCACAAGUUGGCAGCACCGUGUGACGGAGCAACAAGCGCGACGACUCAGCACCGCGCGACGACGGGAGGGGACGCGUCUCGCGCGCUCUCCCCCACCGCAGCUAGGCUACUUCCACACGGGUUGUUCUCUCCAAGAGCGGCACUGCCGUUCGGAUUGGACAACGCCGCGGCGUCGCUCGCCAGGGCGAUAUGCCCAAACGCCCAGACGUACGUAGAAAGACCAAUGGCCCUCCCACGUAGCUCUGAAGCGCGGCGGUCGGCGUCCGAGCUGCUGGACCUUUCCCGAGUACGAGGCCUCCGUCGUCUAGGCCCCGAACGAUACUCGAUCACCUCCCUCAGGCAACGAUUGCUGGAGGAAGGACGUGGGUGUUUCUACGCCGCCGAACCGGACUCCGACUCCGAGACAGACAGCUAUGACCCUACGAGGGAAUGCUAUCACAUCGACGGGGCGGUAGAAACCACUGACGAGACACGGGAUGCUGCUGCGGGUGGUCGAGCCCCCGCGGCGCGAGAAGACCCCAGGACACCUGGGAACGACGGACAGGUCGACCCCCCUCCUCAGGAAGACAGAUCCGCGCAGCUCGCGCAGCUGCGGGAGCUCAAGAUGAAGCUCGACGAAGACCGCGAGCGCCUCGUCCUGCUCGAGCAAAUCUUCGAGCAAGACCUGCCCUACCCACCGGGCGGAAGUGUCCGCAGACGCGCUCGAGAGGUACAUCGACAGAUCGUCGGCGACUCAGAGCCAGAGCAACCUGUCAGCCGUUUCCCUCGAGCAGGCCAGAAUGUAGUGGCAGCGACGAUGCUGCUAUGUAACAUGCCAGAGCCGUCAAAUUCCCAGGCCCGACGCAUUCGAGAUGAGGUACAGACAUUGCUCCAGGUGGCGGCGGUUCAACAAGCCGAAAGUUCGGCGUCUCGACGGCGAGGAGCUGCCACAGAGAAGCGCGACGAACAGCCUCUAAACGAAGAGGAGGUGUCAGUCCAUCAACAACCUCCCCCUCGAGGUAGAAAGACCGCUCUCAUCCUCCCCGUCGACAAUCAACGUCGACACGACGCGCGGCACGACAUCAAAGAAAAUCGACGCCCGCCGGCACGGAGACGCGGAAGAGCGCGGUUAUAGUGCGCAUCGCGGUGGGAGAUAUGACAGCGACGAGGACCGGGUGGCCCCCGAGCCACCAGGCCCACGGGUGUUCAGCAGGGCGAUCCACAGCACGCCCCUGCCCAAUCCAUUUCGACCCCCGACCAGCAUCGCGAAGUACAAUGGAGAGACCAAACCAGAGUUGUGGCUGGCCGACUUCAGGCUGGCCUGUCAGCUAGGUGGCGCUCGAGGUGAUGAUCGAGCCAUCAUCAGACAGCUACCCCUUUUCCUCUCCGACACCGCCCGUCGAUGGCUCGAGGAACUCCCUGCCAAUCAGAUCCAUAACUGCGUUGAUCUAGUCAGAGUCUUCGAGGGCAACUUCAAAGGGACCUACAUACGGCCAGGGAACUCGUGGGACCUCAGCAAGUGCAAGCAGAAGUCAGGAGAAACUCUUCGGGAGUAUGCUCGACGCUUCUCGAAGCAGCGCACUGAGCUGCCGCACAUCCCUGACCACGACGUCAUCUUGGCGUUUGUCUCGGGCACCACCAGUCGAGACUUGGUGCGGGAAUUAGGUCGCAAUCGACCUCAGACCGUCGACGAGCUGAUGGACGUAGUAGCCAACUACGCGGCAGGGGAGGAGGCAGUCGGCGCCUUCUUCAGCUCAGAAGGAAGAAAGGCCAAGCAGCCCGUCGAAGAAGAUGGGACCCUCAGUCGAGGCCUCAAAAAGAAUAAAAAGAAGCAGAAAGUUCGGCAGUUCCACCGGGAAGAUUCCGAUGACAACCUUGUCGCCGCCAUGGAUCGAAAGAAGCCUCGAGGCCCUCCGGAUGGAGGCAUCUUUGACAAGAUGUUGGAGGAGCCGUGCCCUUACCAUAAGGGAGGCGCCAACCACAAGCUCAAGGACUAUCGUAUGCUGAGAAAGCAUUUCGACGGUCUGGGGUUCAAAAAAGAUACGCGUGAUGACUCCAAGAAAGAGAAGGCUGGCAGCAAGGAGGACAACAAAGAUGACGACGGCUUCCCCGCCGUCCACGACUGCUACAUGAUCUAUGGCGGGCCCUCGACUCAAUUGACCACGAGGCAGCGCAAAAGGGAGCGUCGCGAAGUCUUUGCAGCAAGAAUGGCGGUGCCCCAAUACCUUAGCUGGUCAAGCACUCCUAUCACUUUCGACCGAGAAGACCACCCCGACAAGGUAGUCGCCCCAGGCGUCUACCCGCUCGUCGUCGACCCCAUCAUCGUUAACACCCGGCUCUCGAAAGUGCUGAUGGAUGGCGGUAGCAGCCUCAACAUCAUCUACCUCGAGACCCUUGACCUCCUUGGCAUAGAUAGAGGGAAGCUCCAACCAAGUGCCGGCGGGUUCCAUGGCGUCGUGCCAGGAAAAAAGGCGCUGCCAGUAGGUCGAAUUGACUUACCGGUCUGCUUCGGCACGGCGGCCAACUUCAGGAAGGAGACCCUCACCUUCGAGGUGGUUGGGUUUCGAGGCACGUACCACGCCAUCAUCGGGCGCCCGGGCUACGCCAAGUUCCUGGCUAUACCCAACUACACCGACUUCAAGCUGAAGAUGCCCGGUCCCAAAGGCGUCAUCACUGUCAGUUCCUCCUUCGAGCAAGCGUACGAGUGCGACGUCGAGUGCGUCGAGUACGGGGAAGCGGUCGAGAACUCCACCGAGCUCACCGCGAAGCUCGAGGCCCUGGCCGCUGAGGCUCCAGAGCCUAAGCGCCACGCGGGCAGCUUCGAGGCGGCGGAAGGAACCAAGAAGAUCCCGCUCGACCCCAACAACUCCGACGGCAAAGUGCUGACGAUCAGCACCGACCUCGACCCCAAAUAGGAAGCUGUGCUCGUCGACUUUCUCCGUGCAAAUGCCGACAUGUUUGCAUGGAGUCCCUCGGACAUGCCAGGCAUACCGAGGGAAGUCACCGAGCACUCCUUGGAGAUUCGAGCCGGUUCCAAGCCAGUGAAGCAGCGGUUGCGCCGAUUCGACGAGGAGAAGCGCAAGAUCAUUGGCGAGGAAGUCCACAAGCUUUUGACGGCCGGAUUCAUCAAGGAGGUUCAUCGUCCUGACUGGUUAGCAAACCCUGUAUUAGUUAAGAAAAAGAAUGGGAAAAUGAGGAUGUGUGUCGAUUAUACUAGUCUGAAUAAAGCAUGUCCAAAAGUUCCCUUUCCAUUGCCACGCAUUGAUCAGAUUGUCGAUUCUACCGCGGGAUGUGAAACCCUUUCUUUCCUUGAUGCAUAUUCUGGUUACCACCAAAUAAAAAUGAAGGAGUCCGACCAGCUCGCGACCUCUUUCAUCACGCCUUUUGGGAUGUAUUGCUACGUGACCAUGCCAUUUGGGCUUCGAAACGCGGGAGCCACGUAUCAACGUUGCAUGCUCCACGUGUUUGGCGAACAUAUAGGGUCCACGGUCGAGGCCUACGUCGACGACAUUGUCGUCAAGUCAAAACGAUGAGGAGACCUAAUCCAGGACCUCGAGAUUGCCUUUAGCUGCUUAUGCACCAGCCGUAUCAAGCUCAAUCCCGAGAAGUGCGUUUUCGGUGUGCCUCGAGGCAUGCUCCUACGUUACAUCGUUUCGCAGCGCGGCAUCGAGGCCAACCCUGAGAAAGUCUUGGCCAUCACGAGAAUGGGGCCGAUCCGAGACAUCAAGGGUGCACAGAGAGUCACGGGGUGCCUGGCGGCUCUGAGCCGUUUCAUCUCGAGACUAGGAGAAAAGGCAUUACCAUUAUAUCGACUCCUAAAGAAGGUCGAGCGUUUUUCUUGGACCCCCGAAGCCGAGGAAGCACUCAAAAGGCUGAAGAAGACGCUGACCUCGGCACCAGUCCUGGUUCCACCUCAACCUGCAGAGCCGCUGCUCCUCUACGUCACGUCGACGACCCAGGUCGUCAGCGCGGCGGUGGUGGUCGAAAGACAAGAGGAGGGUCAUGCGCUGCCGGUCCAAAGGCCGGUCUAUUUCGUCAGCGAGGUGCUUUCGGAGACCAAGGCGCGUUAUCCCCAAAUCCAGAAGUUGAUCUACGCCGUAAUCCUUGCCCGCUGCACGCUGCAGCAUUACUUCCUCGGUCACCCCAUCACGGUGGUUUCGUCUUUCCGUUUAGGAGAAAUAAUCCAGAGCAAAGAGGCCACGGGAAGAAUAGCAAAAUGGUCGGUCGAGCUCAUGAGUGAGACUCUCACUUACGCACCUCGGAAGGCCAUCAAAUCGCAAGCCCUGGUAGACUUCGUCGCGGAAUGGACGGACUCCCAGCUUCCCCCGACUCAGGUCCAGGCGGAGCUGUGGACAAUGUAUUUCGACGGGUCACUCAUGAAAAUGGGGGCCGGGGCCGGCCUGCUGUUCAUCUCACCCUUAGGCGUCCACAUGAGGUAUGUAAUCAGGAUUCAUUUUGCCGCAUCUAACAAUGUCGCAGAAUAUGAGGCCCUGGUCAACGGUCUCAAGAUCGCUAUCGAGUUAGGAGUCCGACGCCUCGACGUCCGUGGUGACUCCCAACUCGUCAUCGACCAAGUAAUGAAAACCUCGAGCUGCCACGACCCAAAAAUGGAAGCGUACUGCAAGGAGGUCCGUCGACUCGAAGACAGGUUCCACGGUCUCGAGCUUGUCCAUGUCGCUCGACGCUACAACGAGGCAGCCGACGAACUCGCCAAGAUCGCAUCGACCAGAGGCACGGUGCCGCCUGAUGCAUUUUCAAAAGAUCUUCACGAGCCAUCCGUCGACCUAGGCACGGGGGCUGGCGUCGACGCCACCACUGCCCAACCAACCAAUGUUGUCGAUACACUCUUGAUGGUGGAAGAGAUGGAUAUAGAACGACGGCCAGGUCGACCAUUCGAUUGGCGCACACCGUUCCUCGACUGCCUUAUCCGCGGCGAGUUGCCAGAAGACAGGUCAGAAGCUCGUCGUAUCGCUCGACGGGCCAAAUCAUAUGUGAUCUAUGGCGAAGACAACGAGCUAUAUCGACGGAGCCCGACGGGGGUCUUACAACGUUGCAUCACUGUGGAAGAAGGCCGAAAACUCCUCGAUGACCUGCACUCGGGGGCUUGCGGUCACCACGCCGCUCCACGGACCCUUGUAGGGAACGCUUUUCGACAAGGCUUCUACUGGCCAACGGCCGUGGCGGACGCCAUCGAGCUCGUACGAUCAUGUCACGGGUGUCAGUUCUACGCCAAGCAGACGCAUCUGCCUGCCCACGCUCUUCAGAUGAUCCCCAUUACCUGGUCGUUUGCGGUGUGGGGGCUCGAUUUAGUAGGACCUCUACAAAAGGCGAAAGGAGGAUUCACCCAUUUGCUGGUGGCCAUUGACAAGUUCUCCAAAUGGAUCGAGGCUCGACCCAUCACCAACAUCCGCUCCGAGCAGGCCGUCCUUUUCUUCACUGACAUUAUCCAUCGGUUUGGGAUCCCCAAUGUCAUCAUCACCGACAACGGCACCCAAUUCACCGGCAAAAAGUUCUUGGACUUCUGCGAUCGGCAUCACAUCCGUGUGAACUGGUCUGCAGUAGCCCACCCUCGAACUAACGGCCAAGUCGAGCGUGCCAACGGCAUGAUUUUGCAAGGACUCAAGCCAAGGAUCUACAAUCGAUUGAAGAAAUUCGGCAAAAAAUGGGUCGAGGAGCUUUCCUCAGUCCUAUGGAGCCUUAGGACAACACCAAGCAGGGCCACAAAAUACACCCCAUUCUUCAUGGUCUACGGCUCUGAGGCUAUCCUCCCCACAGACCUCGUGUAUGGGUCACCUCGACUCAAGGCCUACGACGAGCAAUCGAACAAAGAGACUCAAGAAAACGCGGUCGACCAACUUGAGGAGGCUAGAGACAUGGCCCUCCUCAACUCUGCCAGAUAUCAGCAAAGGCUUCGACGCUACCACGACAAGCAUGUGCGCAAGAGGGACCUCAACGUGGGCGACCUAGUCCUACGACGCCGGCAAAGCAAUCAGGGACGCCACAAGCUGACUCCGCCUUGGGAAGGUCCGUACGUGGUAGCCGAGGUCCUGAAGCCGGGAACGUACAAGCUGGCGGACGAAAAGGGGGCAAUUCUCACCAACGCAUGGAACAUCGAACAACUACGUCGAUUCUACCCCCAGAAGUUCUAAACUUAUGUUCCUGCUUACGCUUUGUACCAAGACUUUGUAAACGAAUGAAUGAAUAAAUAAAGUCUUUCCCUCGAAACAAUUCUUCUUUCUUUGCGCCGAGAAGAUUAAUAAGUCACGAUCUCGACGUUAAAAGGGGGCGCCGACUAUGACCCAUCAUAGUCAGCACCCCCUCGGGGGCUACCAGGGGGACGACACCCCCCCGAGUGUCGAAAAAACCAAGAAGUUUUCUUUUCUUACGUAGUAAACCUUGCACGGUUCGGGUAGCUAAGACACCUCGAGCCCCUCAAAGGCCGAGGGACAACAAGCUGGAGAACUCCUACGCCCCCGAGCUACGGAAACUCUACUCGCUUCCCCACCAUUGAAGUGAUCGAGGUGGUCUUUUACGAAAAAUCGAGCAAGGGAUACAAACGUAGGCGCAAAGAGAAACGAAAGCAUCAAGUGGAAAGACAAAAUAAGCAUCUAACAAUUACGAAAGUGAUACAGCAUCAAUUACCCAAAGAAUUAACAAAGUAUUGUACAAGGGGCCUCAGGCGCCCUGAGCAGGCUCGCAGGCCUCAGUCCGCGGCACGAUCCUCACCGCUCUCGCCUCCGCCCGAGCUAGCCUCAGGAGGGAGCACCUCAGGCUCGAAAAGCUUGGCCAACCUUUCCCCAGGAGCCUCCGCGUCGUCGAUCAAGGCAUGGAGCCUCUCCUCGUUCUCUGCGUCGGUCUUGGAAAUGUCGGUGACGAAGCCAUGGGACACCACCUCCAUGUCGUAGGAGAAGCCCGAGCAGACAACCGCCAUCGCCCGCUUCACCCCGAUGUGGAGGGCGUCCCGCACCCGAUCUCGCAGCGUCGCGCCUAUGUAGCACAACUGGUCGACCAGGGCGUCGCCUCGAGCGUCCUCCCUCGACUCAUCCAUAGGCUCGACCUCCCAAGAGGUCGAGAGAUCACUUAUCGCCGUCCGUACUCGACGGUUCAAAGCAACCUCCGCCUCGAGCUGAGCCUUGGCGUUGCGAGCCUCGGCUUGGGCGGCCAGGAGCUCGUCCUUGAGCCCUGUAAAAGCCAAUACAAAGAGACCUUAGGAAAAACUAAGCACACCUCGGAAAAAGAAAUCUGAUAGAGGAAACAUACCGCGUACGGUCUCCUCGAGGGCCGUGUUCUCGCCGACCAGCCUGGUGUUGGCCCCCUCGAUCUCUUUGUUGGAGCGUGCCAGCUCGGUGUUGGCAACGCGGAGAUCUUCGAUCGCCUUGCCAGCCUGAGCAAUGGCCCCACUCUUCUCCAGCAAUUCUCCCUUCAGACGCUCGACGUCGUUAGAGAGACUGCGAGAUCGAGCCCACUCCGCCUCGAGAUCUUCGAGGGCCUUCUUCUUGGCUUCCUCCGCGGCGCCCCUGGCGACCUCGCCGUUCACAUGCUCCACCUUCAUCUUUCGGAAGGACUCUCGGAGAGAGUCCAGGUCGGAUUUAAGGAGGCCCUUCUCCUUGUCCAGAUCCGCGAUAACGCUCUUGUAGGACCGGGCUCUGGACGCGGCUUCCUCGACCGUAAGAGCCCGCUCCCGUAGCUGCAUCGUCUCCUCCUCCGCCUUCUUCGAGGCCUCUCGGGCCUCAGCCAGGGCAGCCUCCCUCGCCUUCUUCUCCUCCUCGAGUGCUAUGAGAUCUUUGUAAGCUUUAAGGAGCUUUUCCUGCAACUCGAGGAGUUGAUCCUUGAGGACGGGGAGCUGCUCCCAACCGCCCCUCGUGGCGUGUAUGAAGCUGGACUUGAUGCGGGAGGUCUCUUUCAUAUCCUGCGAAUCGAGAGUCGGAUGGAUUAGAAUACAGAAACCAGAAAGCACCAUGAGGAUUGGAGUUCGAAAAACACUUACGAAAUAAGCCGGGCCGAGCCCGUUGUUGAUAACGUCCGAGAAGAGCCCCACCACAUGCUUCAUCCAAAGGCGGAGCUCCUCGACGUGUUCCCACUUCUCCGCCUCCUUCCGAUCGUCGAGGAAGAUGUCGGGCUCAGACGGGUCGUGGGAGGCCCGAAUACGGAUGCGGUCGGGGCACCAGUGCUCCAUCUCCUGGUCAGCCCGCGCCUUAACGCCGCGGAUGAGGCCCUCGACGGUCUCGAGGGAGCCCCCAUGGCGCAGGAACAGGUCAAUGAGGCAUGGGAACCGUCCGUCGUCGUCCACCGUCUUCCAGGUUCCAUCCUUGGUCCCCGAUGCCCCAAUUUCAUCCUCCUCAGAAGGAAAGCGGUCCUCCCACGCCCGACGUUCCCGGAGGAACCCUGGGGUGAUCCCGUCCAUGCCGUAGAUCGUCCUCUUGAUAUCGGACUCGGGGUCGGGGGGUGUGCGCUUCAGGCUGGCGAGCGCCACCACCCCAUCCGCUCGCCCCGGCUCUGCCCGGAUCGCGGCACGUGCCCCCGGGAGGAGCCACGCCGGGGUUGGGGGGCCGUACACCGGCAGGUCCUCCUCCUCGCCGAGCUCUUGCAGCUCCGGUGGCACUGGCUGGGCCGAACCUUGGGGUGGAGGCUCGAACGGUCCUUCCUCUUGGCCCGCCUGCUGCUGCUGCAGUUGCUGCUGCGGUGGUUGCUGCUGCUGCUGCGGUUGCUCCUGCGGUUGUUGCUGUUGCUGCUGCUGCUGUUGCUGCUGCUGCUGUUGCUGCUGCUGCUGCUGUUGUUGUUGCUGCUGUUGCUGUGCCUCAUGCUCCUGCGCCUGCCGCGCCGCCUCGCGCUCCCGCUGUUCAUCCUCCUCCCUCUUCUUCUUCUGCUCCUCGAGGGUGCGGAGGCCGGCGGGCCAGGGAGUCGAUCCCGCGACGUUGGGGGUCGACGCUUCCUCCUCCAUAGGGCGAGUGCCCCCAGACGCUUCGUUACCAUCGGACGUAUCGCUGAUGGUGAUGGGUUCCCCCUCGACCCCCAAUCGAGGGGGCUCGGGGGCUCCCUCUGACGCUUGCGUCCGGGGCACCUCGUCACGAGUCUGCGGCGACGGAGUAGGCGCGGGACGAGACGGAGCCCCCUCGACGCCGGCUGGAGGUUGGGAGCUGGAGGAGCCUACGAAACAAAGGGUAAGGGUCAGACGUUAUGAUAACCGACACGAGAACAUCGCAACGCCCAGAAAUAAACUACGAACCUGGUUCCUUGGAGGCGGCACCCGUUUUGAGCCUCUUUGCCACGGACGGUUGGGCCUGCUCAAGGGUCCGCUUUAACCUGAGAAAAGGUUGGCAUAUGAGGAAAGGUGGAAGAAUGGGAAGACAAAAACCGCAACAUCAAAAAGGCUUACCCCACAGGGAGAACGGCUCGCCUCCUGCCUCCCCGACCAGUGGGCCUCGAGCCAUCCCGCGUCAGGGCUCCAGGCCCCUCGAGGGCAGGCGCUGCCUUAGGCGCGUCGGUCCCUGCCUGGCGGGCGCCGGGACUGGCGCUCCUACGGCCGGCAUCUCCUUUCUCAAAGGCCGCGGCGCAACCAUGAGUUAGUGGCCCCGACGCCGGGGGCCUAGCCAGACCGCUCUCCCUGGGCACCGGGGGAGGGCGCGGUGCGUCUUGGCCCGCCUUGGGCGCGGGAGGGGUGUCGGCCCGGGGGCAACGAGAUCUGCUCGGACCCUCCUCUAGCGCCUCCGUCCGGGGAGCGUCGACGUCACCUCGAGGCGGGCCCUCGAGAAUCCGAUCGAGGCGCGACGCCAUCCCCUCGAAGUCGUCGCUGUCCUCGUCGUCAUCGUCAUCAUCGUUAGGGGAUUCUUCCUCAGGCUCCCCCCUCUGCCUGGAUUUGGCUCGACGCGCCUCUAAUGCUUGGCGGUCGAGGUUCUUCUUCUUCUCCCCCUUCUUUGCAGAGUCCUUGGCAGACUUUAGCUUUUCGGCAGAUUGGCGCCGUUUGUCACGAUCGACCUCGUCCUCCUUUACCGGAGGCCUCGAGGACCGGACAUCAAUCCGACCCUGCCAAAACUAAGGUAGACUUAGAAAAAAGAGAGGGGAGAAAGGAAACCCAGAAUCGAGGCUGCGCGCAAGAAGAAAGUGUACCAGAUCGAUCGAGCCUGCGUCAGGUCUCAUGGGGAAGCCGUUAACGUGCUCCGGCUGAAAAUCACCGGCAAUUGCAGCCCUGACUCGGGCCGCGACUUCAUCGUCCGCCGGAGCCUCAUUGGACAUCCGACACGCCUCGAGGUCCCGAGAUGAGACGCCAGGGCCCAUCUCGUCCAUCCUCAACGGUCGAGACAUCAAAGGUCAAACCCUCCUGGCGAAGCUUCUUCAGGGCGUCGAGGAGGGGGUCGAGCCGAGAUUGAUGAGCUUGGACGACGCCGUAUGUCCAAUCCGCUGGACGCUCCAUGAUCAGACGGCCCGAGUAGGAAGGCAGGAGGUUGUCAUCGUUCCGCAGGUAAAACCACUGGGAGUCCCAGCCGGCGUGGUUGGUCGAUAACCCUACCGGGAUGUACUCCCGCGGCCUGUCUGUCUUCCCCGUCUUCUACACCAGAUUGAGGCAUCCCGCCCGCACGGGCUUCCUUACGCCCGUGGUUCCGGUAGGGGCAUGGAAAAGCUCGCCCCUGUAGAGGUGGAACCACAGCUCCCAGUGCGGCAUCAUCCCUAAGUAGCCCUCACACGGCGGCGAAGACCGCCGCUACGGUGAUGGCGUUCGGAGAGAAGUGCUGGAGCUCCACCCCAUAAUGGAAGCAGAGGGCCCGCAUGAAGCGGCUCGGGGGCGCGCCCAGACCGUGGCGGUGGAACUUGGCGAACGACACCACGUAGAUCUCGGGCGGCUGAGGCCCCCUGUGACUCGCCGGCGGCGCGAUCCACUCUGGCGACGAUAGCGAGGUACGGCGGCGCAGCAGUCCCUCUUUCUCAAGCUCUAACAACCGGCGCUCCGUCAUCGACGACGGGCGCCAGUCGUCGGCGGCGAUGAGUCUUACAGGCAUCUCGGCUGGAGGGACGGUAGAUUCACUACUGCUCGAGGAGGCGUGUGCGCGUGAGACGGCGAGAAAGCAAAGGCAACGAGAGAAUAAAAGCGAGAAGGCGGAAGGGAGAGGAACGGCGGCGACGCCACGACGUAUUUAUAGGCAGCGGUCCGCCAACGGACAGAUCUGAGAAAUAAGGUAACUCCCUCCCAUAAAUGCGCCGUCUAACGGUUCUUUCUCUCCUCACAGGCCGGACGCUCCGAAUUCCCCGCCGAUACAGUGUCGCAAUGUCACUUACCUCAAAAGGUGCGCCCAACGGGCAGAAAGACGAACCGGCACGGCAGUUUCCUUACUUCGUAAGCUAAGGUAUGCGCCCACGAUAGUCUCGAGAGGUCGAUGGCUGGCCCGUCGAAAGGGUUCGACAGCCGAUCUCGAGCACAAAGAGUCAGGGAUCCCCAGCGAGUGGCCGAAAAUCGAGGCCCACCUCGAGGACUCACUGGCGAUGUCCAAGGUAGGGUCGAGACAGUCGAGAGGAAUCCCCCCGAAGGGAGGCAUCGAGCCGCUGGACUCUAUCGAAUGAGACCGGUAUCCCCGACCACGUCGACCCUGCUUUAUGAGGACGCCUCCGGGCUACAGCUGACCCCCUCGAAAGGGGCACAGGUUCUCACUUGGACUACCCGCUAGGAACUCAACCUGGGGUGGAAGACGCUCGCUCUAUCGAGAGUACGUCGAAACCUCCACGCAAGGCAAAGCCGAACAGAACCUUCCACCACGGGUGUUGACAGCGUUUCUGCAAAUUUGGCAAAAUCACCCUCGAAGGAGUUGAAUACUCCCUCGAGGGCUCGGGGGCUACCCCCGCGGGGUCGCUCGCGCGCCCCCGUAGAAGCUCGACCGUAAAAACGAAAGUCUCCACUCGAGCGCCAGCACUCGAAUGAAGACUCGGGGGCUACUGUCGAGGGUAUCAACAAGGGGUACCCUCACCAAUGCGUAUAACGAGGCCAUCCGUACGCACGCGCUGCCAUCGACGGCCAUGCGUAUACGCAGCCUUCGACGUCCACAACCUCGAAGACGGAAAUAGCGUCGAGCGAAUCGGUCGGGGCUCGAGCGAUUACUGCCGUCGAAUACGGAAGCGGGCUCGAGCGAACCGAGAGGCGUCGAGCACAAGGACACUGUCCGCCGCCUGACGCGCGCACGAGAGCCAGGACAUUUAAUGCACCUGACGCUUCCCCACCUAACACUCGGGUCACGGGAGGCGUGAUAGGGAACAGGCUUCUGUCCCAUCGUUCUUUUUGCAGCCUUCCCACCGAACGACCAAGGGCGUGUCAGGACGCGGGAAACAAGGAUGGAAUGUCUAAUCAGGACCCCCUCGAGACCUCCAAGGUCAGCGCUCCAGAUAUCAGCACAUUACACGGCGUCCGACCCUCGACCGAACAGGGUCCCCUCCUAGGGACAAGUUGGGCGUCGACUGACGACACCACAACUACCCCGCCGGAUCUGCCGCCAUACCGUACAAGCGUGCGACCUCAGAACCAGCACGAGGCGGUGGGCAGGGCAGAACGCAGGAGCACGCGUAAUCAUCACCGGGCUAUCAAGAUGGGACGGCUCGAGGCCAUGCCGUACGGAAGCCUCAAGUAGGUCAGCGCUCCAUGCGGCUAUCGACCCCUACUCUAACGUCUACGCAUGUACCCUGGGUCUCUCCUUGGAGCUAUAAAAGGAGAGACUCAGGAAUAGAACGGGGAACACAACACAAGACCACGCUCAUACGUAGUAGAACUCCACACUUCAUACCACGCUUGUAUUCGCCCCUGUACAAGCACUUAGGUGCAAGAUAAUACAAACUCUCUCCCCCCGCUGGACGUAGGGCCUUCUCUUGCCCGAACCAGGAUAAAUCUCUGUGUCUUCUUGCAUCACCAUCCGGGAAAGGGAGCACGCAUACAAAUUUACUCGUUGGUGUGAACCCCCUGGGGGAAAACACCGACACUCCUCAAGCUGGUCGACAGCACUCUCUUGAGCUUCCUUAUUCGACUGCUCGUUGUACGCCUUGAGUCGAGGAGAUCCAUACUCGAGGUCCGUUGGGAGCACGGCCUCAGAGCCAUAGACCAUGAAGAACGGGGUGUAUUUGGUGGCCCGGCUUGGCGUCGUCCUCAAACUCCAUAAGACCGAGGAAAGUUCCUCGACCCACUUCUUGCCGAAUUUCUUUAGGCGAUUGUAGAUCCUUGGUUUGAGCCCUUGCAAGAUCAUGCCGUUGGUGUUGACGGUCCUUAAGUAUCAAAUUUAAUUAUCAAAUAAAUAAAGAAAAGGAUCCAAAUGAAAUAAAGAUCUAGACUUAGGGUUUUAUCUAACAGAAUUCCACGAGUUUUGGUGUUUGUCUAUUUCUGCAGGGAGUUAUCAGGAAAUAUGGAAGAAAGGCCCACAUGUCAGGAUUACGUAAAGAUAUUAACGUGCUACGCAAUUAUCUUACAUCUAGAAGACUCCAGAAGCCACGAGACCGAAGCGGAGGCGAAACGGGGCCAGACCCUGGGCGGCCGCCCAGUUGGUCAGGGCGCCCGCCCACCUCUGGAGUCUAAUCAGGACUCUGCUUUGCGGGAAGUCUCCACCGACCUAAAGGAUGAAUCUAAACCAAGGGCCCAUAUUCACUUGAAGGGACUACAAAACCAGACCCCCUGGCCCCUGGAGGAGAGAGCCUCUCAACCCUAUUUCAUUGUUCCAUCAAGGGAGAAGAAGCCUCUGAUCAAGAUUAGAGCCACCACAUCAAUUAGAUAUCUAGAUUAGCAUAGCUACAUAGGAUUAGAACUAGAAGGAGUCAAUCUUCGAUUGGUUUCCGGAUCUGUCAGGAGGAUUCUUGGUAAUUCUCUAAUUGUGCUUCUAAUUGCUUUCUAAUUAUCUUUGUUCUUCAAUAUUAUGAAUAUGACUUUGUUCUACUUCAAUAUAUUGCUUAUGACUUUGCUCUACUUGCUUAUAUUCAAGAUUAUAUUGUUCUUAGUUUAUCAUAGUUAUGUACUUGGCUUAGUUAGAUACGAUCUAUAUACAUGCUUAGGAUCGUAUAGCGUUUAUCCAUCGGAUCCAUGGGUAAAUGAUAGAUAUUGUGUAGGCGUGGUGCUUAUACCGUAUUUAUCUGCGAUUGUACCCAAUAUGCCAGAUCGUGGGGUAAUUCGUGAUAGUGACAGCUUCAUUGAUUCUUAUAUAGUCCCCCUCUCGUGUAUUGGGCUGGCAGAGCAACAUUAUUACAGGGGAGUGAUUGCUAUGUUUCUCAUAUUCCUUGCUAAUAUCACUAUGCAUGGGCGUAGUCUUGUCUCACAAUGAUUGCUAAGUAUGCUUGCACUAACUAUGAUAUGCUAGACUAUAUAGUUAAGAAUAACUUAGGGAAUAUUCUUGUAGUUCGUUAUAAUACCAUGCUAAUGACUUUCUAGAGUAUCUAAUUGAGGUGCUUAUCAUAUUUAUUAUGUGGCUAGAUCAGAUUAGUUAUCCUUGUCACUAUUAUUAUUUCAUAUAUCUUUUAUGUGACACUUAUCCCUGUAUGAAGAGUUAGAUAUAAUGUUCUCAAUUAUACAUGCAAUGAUAGUUGCUCAAUCUCAUAUUCUAUUCUGUAAUCAAUAGUGAUGAUUGCUAAUCCCUUCCCAGUGGUAAAAAUAUAAAUAACGAUACCUGGAAUACUUCCCGGUUAAAAUGCUGCAUCGGUAUUAAUCUGUGCGCUUGCAGAUCCCAUUCAUUAUUUAUUUAGAAGAGCAAUUGCAUAUUUCAAUACCACGUCUCUUAUAUCAUGCUGGGGAUGACAACUUGGCUUAAGUGGUGUGAGGGAUAGGUUUGGCAUUUUUGGCACCGUUGCUAGAUUUAGAGAACUUAGUCUACUUUUAGUAAUGAUGUUAAGAAUACCCAACAAGCAUUUUUGGCGUCGUUGCCGGGGAAGGUUGAUUACCAAUCAGGAAUGGAAUAAAAGAUUUUGAGUCAUCAUUCGCAUCACUAAUAUGAUUGAGCUUAUCUAUUCUCUCAUACAGUUUUACCCCGAUAUUUUUCUAUUUUAUCUUAUGCAGGGGAAUGUAUGAAUAGAAGACAUCUUCCAGGGAAUUUUGUUGACGAUCCCGAAGCAUUAUUCAAGAAGACGAGAGCCAAGCUAAAGAAAUCAUCAACACUUCACGAAGAAGCUUCAUCCAAUCAAGAAGAUCACCGAAACUUGUCUUCAGAGUUCGAAGCCAUGGCGAACAAAUCAAUCCGCGAGUUCUCAGCUCCCACUACGGACAACAUCCGCACUGGACCUGCUGCAGAGAUCGAUGGCAACUUUGAGCUCAAGCCUGGACUUAUCAACAUGGUGCAAUCCAACCAGUUCUGUGGGAAGGCACAUGAAGAUGCUAGUGCUCAUUUACAACACUUCCUGGAGAUUUGCAACACAUUCACCAUAGCAGGAGUUUCUAAAGACGCUAUACUACUUCGCCUCUUUCCUUUCUCACUGUUAGGAAGAGCGAAGCAGUGGUUCUACGCUACAAAGGAGAAGAAUACUACGUGGGCACUCUGCUCAACAAACUUCCUGGCUAAGUUCUUUCCCAUGGGCAAGACCAAUGCUCUAAGUGGGAAGAUUACAAGUUUUCAGCAACAAAAUGAUGAAUCUGUUCCAGAAGCAUGGGAGCGCUUUCAAGACUACAUCCUAGAAUGUCCCCAUCAUGGAAUGGAGAGUUGGCUAUUGAUGCAGACAUUCUAUCAUGGGCUCAGCAACAGUGCCCGAGAGACUAUGGAUGCUGCAGCUGGAGGAGCAUUCUUAUCACUUACUAUACCACAAGCCACAGCUCUUGUGGAGAAGAUGGCGUCCAACCAAAGCUGGAAUGAAGAGAGGAGCCAGACACGCAAGAGAGGUGGAGGUAUGCAUCAGCUAAAGGAGGUAGACAUGCUGUCUGCAAAGCUAGACCUGCUCAUGAAGAAGCUCGAUAAUAAAGCUGGAGAUAAGAAGGAAGUUAUGCACAUCUACGACUCUCACAUGACUUGUGAGGAGUGUGGAGACACUGGACACUCAGGCAACCACUGCCCUGAGAUACUUGAGGAUGUGAACUACAUCAACAACAACAACAACUACCACAACUGUCCUCAACAAAAUCAAGGUUGGAAUCAACAGAGGCCUAACUACUCAGGUAAUUAUCAAGGUAACAAUUCUUACAACAAUAAUAAUAAUUUUCCACCUUUGAGAGAGUUAGUGUCUAAUCAAGGAAAGCUAAUGGAUAACCUGUCUAAGAAAUUGGCAUCUAAUGAUAAAAUGCUAGAAAAUAUAAAUAAUAGAAUGGAUAAUUUUUCUACUGCCAUCAAGAAUCAAAUUAGCUUUAAUAAAAUGAUUGAAUCUCAGUUAAAUCAAAUAGCUGCUGCUGUUCCUACUACUAACCCCGGUAUACCAUCACAACCGGAAGGAUUAGAAUCUGCAAAUCUUGUAGACAUGUUUGAUACAGGUAAUUGGAGUAACCCCGUCACUGAAUUUUCUACUGACCGUCUGCCGGUCAAGAGAGGCGAUCCAGGACGCCCCGUCAUCCCGAUCUCCAUCGGCAUGGUGGAUGUCCCAGAAGCACUCUGUGACUUUGGCUCCAGUGUCAACAUUAUACCCAGGGUACUCUAUGAAAAAUUCUUUACAUAUCCUUUAUUAGAAACAACCAUGUGUUUGCAGUUUGCAGAUCAGACGAUAACUUUUCCGAAAGGAAUAGUGAGGAACCUUUGUGUUCGAGUUGGUACCUUGUAUGCCCCAGCAGACUUCGUAGUGGUAGAGACCGGAAAUGAUGAGAGAGCACCUAUCAUUCUAGGGAGGCCAUUCUUGAACACCACGGGAGCUAUCAUCUACGCCAGUGCUGCUAAGAUCAGUUUCUAUGUCAAAGGGAAGAAGGAGACAUUUUUCUUCAAGAACAAGACUACACAAAUUCAAGAUCAAUCCAGACGUGAAUCAAGGAAGAGGACCAACAGGAGGAACAGGAACAAGCAAGUGUGGACCGAGUCAGCUAAGAUGGUCACUGCAGUUCAUGGAGGCCAAGAUCACCACCUUAAGUCACCACUUUUGACCAAGAAGGAUGACCCAGGAAUGCCAAGCAUUUACUGCUCCAUACAUGGAUAUAGCUUCUACAAUACAAUUUGCGACACCGGAUCAGGCGUCAACAUAAUGGCCGCAGUCACCUAUCGGCUCUUGUUCGGGACCAUGUCACUAAGACCAACAUACAUUCAGCUCCAGAUGGCAGAUCAGACAUUUCGAGAAGUCAAAGGAACAGUAACUGAUGUCCCAGUCAAAGUAGACGAUCACUUUGUCUACACAGACUUUCAAGUUGUUGACAUGGGAGAAGACGAGUAUGAUCCACCCAUCAUCCUUGGAAGACCGUUUCUCAGCACCAUUAAAGCCAUUAUCUACAUUGGAACCGGAGAAGUCCAUAUGCACUUCCCCUCAGAGAAGGUACGCCGUUACUUUACUGACCCUAACUAUAUUGUUGAAGAAUCUAAGCAGGUCAGAAAGAGACGCAACCGCAACCAGAGGAGGCAAAUCAUUAAGGAUGGAUGGGCAGACUAUGAAAGAGAAGUUGUAAGGUCAGAAGACGUAGAGUUUAAACAGAAUUAUCCAGAGGAGAUUGAAGCACCGAGUCAGGUAUGGAAAAUGAAGAUAACUAUACAAGAAGAGGAGGCGCUGCCGGAAGUACCGACUACGCCACCCAACGAACCUCAGGACGAUUAAGAAAUUGGAGAGUCCCGUUCGGAGGACUUAAAAACACCGAACGCCUUGCCAAGAGGUAAACUUGGUAGUUAUCCUUUCCCUUUCAAUUAUUUCAAAUAGUGUACUUAGUUAAUCAUGUUCAUACUAUCUUAAAAAAAAGAAAAUAAAAAUGUGAAGAAACUGUAAGCCCCAUGUGAGUAGACGAGUGGCAUAAAACCCAUAAGUAUAUUCACUGUGGUGGCAUAAAACUAAAAUAAAUAUUUUUUUGCUUUAUAAAGACAAAAAUAUAAAAACAGGGAGUAACAAUUAUUAAGGAGUCUCAAGAUAAUGAAGGCUAUAUAUUUAUGCUAACACUUAAUCAGUUCCACAAGCUUUGUUGUCUAUUUGAGCUCCACAGAAUUUAAGAAUCAAGAAGACUAGCAGAAGGAGGACAUUCUAAUCGCUGUCAGAAGCUGCUGACUUUCAAAUACACCUCUGCCACCUGCUAGCUACAUCAAGAGAAAUUACGUCAAAAUUCAGCUUGGGGGAGAGCACCCCCAUUUAUAUGGAUAAGUAUUUCUAUCUAUCUAUCUUUAUACUUAUAUUAUUUUAGAAUAUUAAUACACAUAAACUAUGGGAAAACCAAAUAAAGAUUUUAUGCUUAUAUAUAUAUAUUACUUAGUGUGUUUAAUAAAUAAAUAAAGUGGCUAUGCUAAUCUGUAUCUAAUAAAACUUAAGCAUGGAUAUGAUGAAUAGUUGCUCUGCCUAAUUUGCACAUUUUAAGUUCUCUCUCAAGUUUAGACAUAACUGUUAUAAUUUAAAGCUUGCUCUAGACCUAAACUUGUGGGAUGAAAACUUGAUCUGAAGUCUAAGUUGUUAACGGAUACGAUAUGGGAAGGUUGAGCUGCUGUUUAUCUAUUCCUAGAGAUGCUAGAAUUCUGGAGAAUUUAUCUUUGAAAAUCUUUAAAAUGUUGCAUGAUGAGUUCCUGUAUGAUGAGAGUUUAAAUUCCUACCACAGCCAUAUAUACAUGCUUGCUAGACUUUGAGCCACACAUUUACUAUUUACUGCUUAUUAGCAUUGAGUGUGGUCAAGCUGUGUAGACCCUUAGGAGCUUGUCAUGUGGUUAAAUCAAGAUUUCACUUGUACGUUCACUCAUAUAUGCUACUUCUAUUCUGGAAGUACCAUCCACAUAUAUCCAUCCAUUCCAUCUCCAGAACCACCUGAAAAUAUUCUACUCCUAAUCCGGGAGAGAAUAACCAAAAAUAUUUCUGUUUUCCCCUUGUGAAAUAAAUGCUCAAGUUAUCUUGUUACUACCACUUGCUAUAUUAUCUCAAGAGAUGAGUGCUCUAAAAAAAAGAAGAAAAUAAUACGAGGAAAUAAAAAGGAGCAAGUGCUCGGAACCUCAAAAGAAAAGAAAAAGUGAGACAAGAGGUAAAAAUGGACAAGUGUCCGACAGUAGAAUUAGGGGUGCAAGAUACCCACCUGAGAGAAAAGAAAAAGAAGAGCAUCUCAUUCUCCUCAUAAAGUUUCAAAAGCAAGGAAGGUAUGUAUCCCCUCAAAAGAGCAAAGUAGAAUUAGACUUUCACCACCAUUGUUUUCACCAUUGUUUUCACCAUUGUUUUCACCAUUGUUAUCACCAUCAUCACCAUAUACCAUUCAUUCGCCACACAUGCACAUCUUGAUUAAACUUAUUGACUUGUUACUUUGGAUCCAUGGUUUGACUAUGCAAUAAAUGUCUUGUAAGUAUGUAUACUUUAUCUCCCACCUAUGAGCUCCAGAUAUUAAAGCCUUAUUAGAAUAGGGUGAGAGAGAAGGCAAUGUCAUUAUGCUUUAUACCACAAAUACCACAUAUCUUGAGAGAAGGCAUAUACCAUCAAUGCCUUGGUAAGGAUCCAAAAAUACCACAAAAGAGAGACCUGAGAGAAUCAUACAUGGAAUUCUGAGUUUUAUUUGAAAAUCUGCAAAAAUCCCAGAGCUAUAGCUGAUCAAGAAUAAGAGACAUGGCACUUGGCUAGACUGUUCUAUCUUUUAACCACUCAAGACAGAAGUGACAGUUACAAGUCCCAUGGUGAAGGUAAAGUAAGUAAGUUUUAAGUCUUGACAGUUUACUCUAACUCAGAGAUGAGAUCUUAUUUAAAAGCAUGUGUACCGUCAAAUUUUUUAAGAUAUUGCAACUACUUAUGAUCCAUAGCUGAGUCUAUCCUUGCUCAGGGACGAGCAAGAGGUAAGCUUGGGGGAGUUUGUUGACGGUCCUUAAGUAUCAAAUUUAAUUAUCAAAUAAAUAAAGAAAAGGAUCCAAAUGAAAUAAAGAUCUAGACUUAGGGUUUUAUCUAACAGAAUUCCACGAGUUUUGGUGUUUGUCUAUUUCUGCAGGGAGUUAUCAGGAAAUAUGGAAGAAAGGCCCACAUGUCAGGAUUACGUAAAGAUAUUAACGUGCUGCGCAAUUAUCUUACAUCUAGAAGACUCCAGAAGCCACGAGACCGAAGCGGAGGCGAAACGGGGCCAGACCCUGGGCGGCCGCCCAGUUGGUCAGGGCGCCCGCCCACCUCUGGAGUCCAAUCAGGACUCUGCUUUGCGGGAAGUCUCCACCGACCUAAAGGAUGAAUCUAAACCAUACAAUCUAUGUCGGUUUGAUCCAAGGGCCCAUAUUCACUUGAAGGGACUAUAAAACCAGACCCCCUGGCCCCUGGAGGAGAGAGCCUCUCAACCCUAAUUCAUUGUUCCAUCAAGGGAGAAGAAGCCUCUGAUCAAGAUUAGAGCCACCACAUCAAUUAGAUAUCUAGAUUAGCAUAGCUACAUAGGAUUAGAACUAGAAGGAGUCAAUCUUCGAUUGGUUUCCAGAUCUGUCAGGAGGAUUCUUGGUAAUUCUCUAAUUGUGCUUCUAAUUGCUUUCUAAUUAUCUUUGUUCUUCAAUAUUAUGAAUAUGACUUUGUUCUACUUCAAUAUAUUGCUUAUGACUUUGCUCUACUUGCUUAUAUUCAAGAUUAUAUUGUUCUUAGUUUAUCAUAGUUAUGUACUUGGCUUAGUUAGAUACGAUCUAUAUACAUGCUUAGGAUCGUAUAGCGUUUAUCCAUCGGAUCCAUGGGUAAAUGAUAGAUAUUGUGUAGGCGUGGUGCUUAUACCGUAUUUAUCUACGAUUGUACCCAAUAUGCCAGAUCGUGGGGUAGUUCGUGAUAGUGACAGCUUCAUUGAUUCUUAUAUAGUCCCCCUCUCGUGUAUUGGGCUGGCAGAGCAACAUUAUUACAGGGGAGUGAUUGCUAUGUUUCUCAUAUUCCUUGCUAAUAUCACUAUGCAUGGGCGUAGUCUUGUCUGACAAUGAUUGCUAAGUAUGCUUGCACUAACUAUGAUAUGCUAGACUAUAUAGUUAAGAAUAACUUAGGGAAUAUUCUUGUAGUUCGUUCUAAUACCAUGCUAAUGACUUUCUAGAGUAUCUAAUUGAGGUGCUUAUCAUAUUUAUUAUGUGGCUAGAUCAGAUUAGUUAUCCUUGUCACUAUUAUUAUUUCAUAUAUCUUUUAUGUGACACUUAUCCCUGUAUGAAGAGUUAGAUAUAAUGUUCUCAAUUAUACAUGCAAUGAUAGUUGCUCAAUCUCAUAUUCUAUUCUGUAAUCAAUAGUGAUGAUUGCUAAUCCCUUCCCAGUGGUUAAAAUAUAAAUAACGAUACCUGGAAUACUUCCCGGUUAAAAUGCUGCAUCGGUAUUAAUCUGUGCGCUUGCAGAUCCCAUUCAUUAUUUAUUGAGAAGAGCAAUUGCAUAUUUCAAUACCGCGUCUCUUAUAUCAUGCUGGGGAUGACAACUUGGCUUAAGUGGUGUGAGGGAUAGGUUUGGCAUUUUUGGCACCGUUGCUAGAUUUAGAGAACUUAGUCUACUUUUAGUAAUGAUGUUAAGAAUACCCAACAGUUGGCACGCUCGACCUGGCCGUUAGUUCGAGGGUGAGCCACUGUGGGCCAGUUCACACGGAUGUGAUGCUGAUCGCAGAAGUCCAAGAACUUUUUGCCAGUGAACUGGGUGCCGUUGUCGGUGAUGAUCGCGUUAGGGAUUCCGAAUCGGUGUAUGAUGUCGGUGAAGAAGAGGACGGCUUGUUCGGAGCGGAUAUUGGUGAUGGGUCGAGCCUCGAUCCAUUUGGAGAAUUUGUCAACGGCCACGAGCAAGUGGGUGUAACCCCCUUUUGCCUUUUGUAGAGGUCCUACUAAAUCGAGCCCCCAUACCGCAAAUGGCCAGGUGAUGGGGAUCAUCUGAAGAGCGUGGACGGGCAGAUGCGUCUGUUUGGCAUAGAACUGGCACCCAUGACAUGAACGUACAAGCUCGAUGGCAUCUGCCACGGCCGUUGGCCAGUAGAAACCUUGUCGGAAGGCGUUCCCCACGAGGGUCCGUGGAGCAGCAUUGUGGCCGCAAGCCCCGAGUGUAUGUCCUCAAGGAGUUUUCGGCCUUCUUCUAUGGUGAUGCAACGCUGCAAGACCCCCGUCGGGCUUCGUCGGUAUAGCUCAUUGCCUUCGCCAUAAAUCACAUAUGACUUAGCCCGUCGAGCGAUACGGCAGGCCUCAGAUCGAUCUUCUGGCAGCUCGCAGCGGAUUAGGCAGUCGAACGGUCGACCGGGUCGCUGCUCUACCUCCGUCACCUCUGCUGCCAUCAGCAGUGCAUCGACGGUGUCGGUUGGCUGGGCGGGAGCGGCAUCGACGCCAGCCCCCGAGCCCAAGUCGACGGAUGGCUCAUGAAGAUCUCUUGAGAAUGCAUCAGGUGGCACCGUGCCUCGAGUCGAUGCGAUCUUGGCGAGCUCAUCGGCUGCCUCGUUGUAGCGUCGGGCGACAUGGACGAGCUCGAGACCAUGGAACUUGUCCUCGAGUCGACGAACUUCUUUGCAGUAAACCUCCAUUUUCGGGUCGUGGCAGCUCGAAGUCUUCAUCACCUGGUCGAUGACGAGUUGGGAGUCGCCUCGGACGUCGAGGCAUCAGACUCCUAGCUCGAUGGCAAUCUUGGGACCGUUGACGAGGGCCUCAUAUUCCGCGACAUUAUUAGAUGCGGCAAAAUGGAUCCUGAUGACAUACCUCAUAUGGACGCCCAAGGGUGAGAUGAACAGCAGGCCGGCCCCGGCCCCUGUUUUCAUGAGUGACCCAUCAAAAUACAUCGUCCACAGCUCCGCCUGGACCUGAAUCAGGGGAAGCUUGGGAGUCUGUCCAUUCCGCGAUGAAGUCUACCAGGGCCUGUGACUUGAUAGCCUUGCAAGGCGCAUAGGUGAGUGUCUCACUCAUGAGCUCGACCGACCAUUUAGCUAUUCUUCCCGUGGCCUCCUUGCUCUGGAUUAUUUCGCCUAAGGGGCAAGACGAGACCACCGUGAUGGGGUGGCCGAGAAAGUAGUGUUGCAGCUUACGGCGGGCAAGGAUUACAGCGUAGAUCAGCUUCUGGAUUUGGGGGUAACGUGCCUUGGUCUCCGAAAGCACUUCGCUGACGAAAUAGACUGGCCUCUGGACUGGUAGCGCGUGUCCCUCCUCUUGCCUUUCGACCACCACUGCUGCGCUGACGACCUGGGUCGUCGACGCAACGUAGAGGAGCAGCAGUUCUGCAGGUUGAGGUGGGACCAGGACUGGUGCUGAGUCAGCGUCUUCUUUAGCUUUUCGAGCGCUUCCUUGGCCUUGGGGGUCCAAGAAAAGCGCUUGGCCUUCUUCAGAAGUCGAUACAAUGGCAACGCCUUUUCUCCUAGUCUUGAGAUGAAACGGCUCAGAGCCGCCAGGCAUCCCAUGACUCUUUGCACACCCUUGAUGUCCCGGAUCGGCCCCAUUCUUGUGAUGGCCGAGACUUUCUCGGGGUUGGCCUCGAUGCCGCGCUGCGAAACAAUGUAGCCCAAGAGCAUGCCUCGAGGCACGCCGAAAACGAGUUUCUUGGGAUUGAGCUUGAUCUGGUUGGCGCGUAAACAGCUAAAAGCGAUCUCCAGGUCCUGGAUCAGGUCCCCUCGCCGCUUUGCCUUGACGACAAUGUCGUCGACAUAGGCCUCGACCGUCGACCCUAUGUGUCCACCGAAUACGUGGAGCAUGCAGCGUUGGUAUGUAGCUCCGCGUUUCGAAGCCCAAAUGGCAUGGUUACAUAGCAAUACAUCCCAAAAGGUGUGAUGAAAGAGGUCACGAGCUGGUCGGACUCUUUCAUUUUUAUCUGAUGGUAACCGGAAUACGCAUCAAGGAAAGAAGGGUUUCGCAUCCCGCAGUAGAAUCGACAAUCUGAUCAAUACGUGGUAAUGGAAAAGGAACUUUUGGACAUGCUUUAUUUAGACUUGUAUAAUCGACACACAUCCUCAUUUUCCCAUUGUUUUUCUUAACUAAUACAGGGUUUGCUAACCAGUCAGGAUGAUGAACCUCCUUGAUGAAUCCGGCCGUCAAAAGCUUGUGGAUUUCCUCGCCAAUGAUCUUGCGCUUCUCCUCGUCGAAUCGGCGCAAUCGCUGUUUCACUGGCUUGGAACCGGCUCAAAUUUCCAAGGAGUGCUCGGCGACUUCCCUCGGUAUGCCUGGCAUGUCCGAGGGACUCCAUGCAAACAUGUCGGCAUUCGCACGGAGAAAGUCGACGAGCACAGCUUCCUAUUUGGGGUCGAGGUCGGCGCUGAUCGUCAGCACCUUGCCGUCGGAGUUGUUGGGGUCGAGCGGGAUCUUCUUGGUUCCCUCUGCUGGCUCGAAGUUGCCCGCGUGGCGCUUGGGCUCUGGAGCCUCAGCGGCCAGGGCUUCGAGUUUUGUGACGAGCUCGGUGGAGUUCUCGACCGCCUCCCCAUACUCAACGCACUCGACGUCGCACUCGUAAGCGUGCUCAAAGGAGGAGCUAACAGUGAUGACGCCUUUGGGAUCGGGCAUCUUCAGCUUCAAGUAGGUGUAGUUGGGUAUGGCCACGAACUUGGCGUAGCCCGGGCGCCCGAUGAUGGCGUGGUACGUGCCACGGAACCCGACCACCUCAAAGGUGAGGGUCUCCUUCCUGAAGUUGGCCGCCGUGCCAAAGCAGACCGGUAGGUCGAUUCGACCUACGGGCAACGCCUUUUUUCCUGGCACGACGCCAUGGAAACCGCCGGCGCUUGGCUGGAGCCGUCCCCUAUCAAUGCCAAGGAGGUCGAGGGUCUCGAGGUAGAUGAUGUUGAGGCUGCUGCCUCCGUCCAUUAGCACCUUGGAGAGCCUGGUGUUGAUGAUGAUGGGGUCGACGACGAGCGGGUAGACGCCUGGGGUGACUACCUUGUCGGGAUGGUCUUCUUGAUCGAAGGUGAUGGGGGUGCUCGACCAGCUGAGGUACUGGGGCGCCGCCAUUCUUGCCGCGAAGACCUCACGGUGUUCCCUUUUGCGCUGCCUCGUGGUCAACUGUGUCGAAAGCCCACCAUAGAUCAUGUAGCAGUCAUGGACGGCGGGGAAGCCGUCGUCGUCCUUGUUGCCCUCUUUGUCGCCGCCCUUCUCCUUCUUCGAGUCGUCACGCUCAUCCCUUUUAAACCCUAUACCGUCGAAAUGCCUUUUCAGCAUACGACAAUCCUUGAGCUUGUGGUUGGCGCCUCCCUUGUGGUAAGGGCAUGGUUCCUCUAGCAUCUUAUUGAAGAUACCCCCAUCUGGAGGGCCUCGAGGCUUCUUCCGCUCCAUGGGGCGACAAGGUUGCCGUCGAAAUCUUCCUGUUGCAACUGUCGUGCUUUGUGCUUCUCCUUGUUUUUCUUGAGCCCUCGACUGGGGGUUCCAUCUUCAUCGACAGGCCGCUUGCCUUUCGCUCCUUCACAGCUGAAGAAAGCGCCGACUGCCUCUUCCCCUGCUGCAUAGUUCGGCACUACGUCCAUCAGCUCAUCGAUGGUCUGAGGGCGAUUUCGGCCCAGUUCCCUCACUAAGUCUCGACUGGUGGUACCAGAGACAAAAGCCAGGAUGACGUCAUGGCCAGGGAUAUGUGGCAGCUCAGUGCGCUGCUUCGAGAAGCGUCGAGCGUACUCUCGAAGAGUUUCUCCUGACUUCUGCUUGCAUUUGCUGAGGUCCCACGAGUUCUCGGGCCGUAUGUAGGUACCUUUGAAAUUACCCUCAAAAACUUUAACCAAAUCGACCCAGUCGUGAAUCUGAUUUGCUGGAAGUUCCUCGAGCCAUCGACGGGCGGUGUCGGAGAGGAAGAGCGGUAGCAGUCUGAUGAUGGCUCGAUCAUCUCCUCGAGCGCCACCUAGCUGGCAGGCCAGCCUAAAAUCGGCCAGCCAUAACUCUGGUUUGGUCUCUCCAUUGUACUUUGCGAUGCUGGUCGGAGGUCGGAAUGGACUGGGCAGGGGCGUGCUGUGGAUCGCCCUACUGAACACUCGUGGGCCCGGUGGCUCGGGGGCCACCCGGUCUUCGUCGCUGUCGUACCUCCCACCGCGAUGUGCGCUGUAACCGCACUCUUCCACGUCUCCGUGCUGGCGGCGUCGAUUCUCUUCGAUGUCAUGCCGCGCGUCGUGUCGAUGCUGAUUGUCGACGGGGAGAACGAGAGCGGUCUUUCUGCCUCGAGGAGGAGGCUGUUGAUGGACUGACACCUCCUUUUCAUUUGGAGGUGGCUCGUCGUGCUUUUCAGUGGCAGCCCCUCGUCGUCGAGAAGCUGAGCUUUCGGCUUGUUGAACUGUCGCCACCUGGAGCAGAGUCUGUACCUCGUCUUGAAUGCGCCGAGCUUGGGAGUUCGAUGGUUCUGGCAUGUUGUGCAGUAGCAUCGUUGCCGCCACUACAUUUUGGCCCGCUUGAGGGAAACGGCUGACGGGCUGCUCUGGCUCUGCGUCUCUGACGAUUUGUCGAUGUACCUCUCGAGCACGUCUGCGGACACUUCCGCCCGGCGGGUACGGCAGGUCUUGCUCAAGGAUUUGCUCAAGCAGGAUGAGGCGCUCACGGUCUUCGUCGAGCUUCAUCUUGAGCUCUCGUAGCUGUGCAAGCUGCGCAGCUUUGUCUUCCUGUGGUGGGGGGUCGAUCUGUCCGUCGUUCCCAGGCGUCCUGGGGUCUUCCCGUGCUGCAGGGGUGUUGACACUAGCUAACACCACUUAGAUACUAGGUUGUCAGCCCUAGCAUGGCGCCAGAGUGUACAAAGGUAUUUAUAAAUGUAAAGGCUCUUUAGAAAAUAAUCUAUUCUAUCCGCAAGCGCACAGAUAAAACACCUCAUUGUAGCAUUUCACCAGGAUAAGUAUUCCAGGUAUCGUUAUUUAUAAUUUUGCUCUAGGGAUCUAAGGAGAUGAAAUUAAAAUAAAAGGGGCAAAAUCUAUCAAGGCAUAGACUAGAGAUAAACUUGCAAGAACAUGAUUACUAAUGAGAAACUCGUCACACAGUCAUAUACUUUAGCAGGGGGUAAACCAUAAAGAUAAUGAUAAUAAAGUAUAAGUUCAUGGGAUAAAGAGCACAGCGAUUAGAAAAUAGACUACUCCUCAUAUAUGUAGGUGAUGUCGGAUUAGCUAGAGAAUGGAUUCUAAGUUAUCUACUAACUACUAAGUCAUAAUCUACUCUAGUUAUCUACAAGAUCAUAUAUAGCAUAAAUUCUUCAUUCAUGUAUAAGGAACAUUGAUAAAGUAAAUCAGAACAUCGCAUGACUUACUCCACAAUACCGGUUCUGCCUGUCCUAUCAACGGAGGGUGGACUAUAUAAGAAUCAACGAAGCUGUCACUAUCGCGAACUACCACACGACUCGGCCAAUAGGAUACAUUUGCAGAUAAAUAACAUCUAAGCACCACGCUCACAUGUGAUCUAUCACCUAACUCCCUCGCGUCAAGAGCUAAGCGCUUUGCAAACUUAUACAUAAACUCAUUAUCAAUUAGAACUAUAUCAAAUAUAGAACUAGAGCAAACUAAGAGCAUAAUAAUUAGAGACAUAAUGCAAUUAGAACAAUAGAAUUAGAGAAAGAUAUGAAUAAUACCAAUCUUUAUUACCGAAGAUCCGAAUCUAGAGCGUAGUGCUCUACUUCUCUAAUUGCUAUCUAAUCAACCUCUAAACUUGAAGGAUUAGGGAGUAGCUAAUUCUAAUUCUCUAUGGGAGAGAGAUCUAAACCCUAACUUUGAUGGCUACCUCUGAAUAAUGAUUUCUCCUCUCCUCCAGGGGCCAGGGGGUCUGGUUUUAUUGUCCCCUCAAGUGAACGUGAGCCAUUGGAUCAAACCGACAUAGAUUGUAUGGUUUAGAUUGAUCCUUUAGGUCGGUGGAGUCUUGUCCCGAAGCAGAGUCCUGAUUGGCCUCUUGGCCAGGGCGGGCGCCCAAGGGGGGUGGGCGGCCGCCCAGCUCCCGAGCCCGAUUCACUUCCCGUUCGUUCCCGUGGCUUCAGGAUCCUUCUAGAUUGAGGAAAAUUGCACGGCACGUAAUUAUCUCGUUGUAAACAUGACAUGUGGGCCUUCUCUCCAUAUUUUCUGAUAACUCCCUGCAGAAAUAGAUAAACACCAAAGCUCGUGGAAUUCUGUCAGAUAAAACCCUAAUUCUAGAUGUUUGUUUCAUAUUGAUCCUUUUUCAUGUUUAUUUGAUUAUUAAUUUUAGUACUUAAGGACCGUCAACAAACUCCCCCAAGCUUACCCUUUGAUCGUCCCUGAGCAAACAGCUAAACUCAGACAGAUCAGGAGUUGCUUCGAUGUUUUCUUUCCUGACAGGCACACGUGCUUUUAUAAAAAUUCUUCCAGAUUAGAGUGAAGUGUUAUGAAGUUUAGUACCUGCACUUAAGUCUUAAGUAAUCAAAAGACAAAAUAGUUAAGUCAAGCACUAUCCCUCCUAUCUAUACUUCACCUUUGUUCCAGAGUUUUUCAUAAGUUUUCAAAAUAAAACUCAGAGUUCCCAGCAAUGAUUCUCUCAAGUCUCUCUAUAUGUGGUAUUUGUGGAUCCUUACCAUAAUAUCACUUACCUAUAGCUAAUGGAAUAUUUAAGUGGAGCUCAUAUGAGUGAUAAACAGCUCAUACAUAUGUUGUCUAAUCGAGCCAUGGAUCCAAAGGAACUCAGCAUAUAAUUAAAUCAAGAUGUGCAUGUGUGAUGGAGUAAAUGAUAGUGAUGGUGAAAAUGCAUAAGUGAUAAUAAUAAAAUUUAGUUCUCAUUGCUCCUUAUAUUGCUAUCUCUCCUCUUCUUUGAUCUUUGCUUUGGGAGAACAUGGGCUAUCUUUUUCUUCUUCUCUUUUUUUUUAAGGUGGGUAGUAGAUACCCCUAAUUCUACUGUCGGACACUUGUCCAUUUUUUCCGCUCAAGUGGGCAUCUUUGUACCCCUAAUUCUACUCCGGACACUUGUCCAUUUUUACCUCUCGUCUCACUCUUUUUCUUUCUUUUUCGUGGUUCUGGGCACUUGCCCCUUUUUAUUUCCUCGUAUAUUUUUGCAUAACCCAUGCCUCUUCUGCAUUAAAUCUUUUUAGAGAGAGAAUAACAAUAUUCGGGACAGUGAGUGAUUAUAUUUUUAGCAAUUUUAAUGAUUGGUGAUGAAUGCUAUAGUAGAUGUGUGCAAGUGAAUAUCUUAAUUUAACCACAUGAAAAGCUCCUAAGGGUCUACACAGCUCGAUUAAACUCAAUGUGAAUAUAGUAAAAGAUGUUAUAGCAAGUAUGGCUGUGGUAGGUAGUUUGCAAUGCUAGGAACUCAUCAUGUGAUUUGUAAGUUUUCAAAAUAAAUCUCCAGAACUUAGUGUAGUAGGGAUAAGAUAAACAGUAGCUCAACUUUAUAUCAUGUCUUUCUUUUACCUAGACUUUAGUUUUAUGCUUCCCAAAGAUAGUAAUUUUAGUUUUAGUAAUUCCUGGAAGAAUUCUAAUAUAAAAGCUAGGUACUUGUAAGUAAGCAAACAGAGCAACUGUUCAUCAUUUCCAUCAUGCAUAUUUUUUGUCUUUUUAUUUUUUCUAGAGAUUGAACUUAGCAGGUAAAUAAAGCACACUUAUCUACACACUCUUUUUAUUUUGUUUUCAUGUUUAUAAAGUGCAGUAAAUUAAAGCAAGAAAAUAUUUAUUUGGUUUUCUAAGUUUUUUUCCUUUUAAGAUAAAUUAAAUACUAAGACAGAAUAGAAUAAAUAAGAAGAGCAAAUAGAAACUUACUUGAUAAAUUGGGGAGAAACUCCCCCAAGCUGGAUGUUGACGUCGGUCUUACCCGAUGUUCCAGAACCGCAUCAUGGUUGUGAUGUUGUCGUUCAUUGUUGUUGUAUCUUGUCUCAGCUCUUCUACUGCAGCUGCAUGGUCCUGGUUCCAUUUUUGUUGCUCUUCCAGGAGUCUUCCAUGUUCUGCUUGCGUGUUCUGGAUGUCGAGGAGGGUGUUGUCGGUACGAGUGAAGAAAGCACCGGCCUCUUGGUAAUAGUCAUUCGUGAAGGCGUAGGAGGCAUCGGAGUAUCGUCCUGCAUCAACUUGGGGUGGAGGUCUGGAUCCUGAAGCUCCAUAUGGAUCAGUGGAGUACCUGCCCGUAUGAAAAGGCGGGUUUGUCCACUGGUGAUCUUGGCUCUCCGGCCAUGUCUCCUCUGUUGGCUCUUGUGGUUGCGCAUGACGAGCCCAUGGGUCUCGAAGGACUCGUGGAUUGUAAUCGCAAUAAUGCAGGUGCGCUGCUUCUUUUGGUCCAGGGUCAGCUCCAUACCAAGUGCAUUCUUGGUGAGUGGUUAUCCUUUCAGAUGCUACUCGCUGUGGAGUUCUCUGGUUCACUGGUGUUGCUGCAAUUUCAAUCAAAAAGUUUUGCACAGAGUAGAGGCCAAGGUUCGGGUUAGGUAACCGAAUCUUGCCUUUAUCAUCAUACAGCAUAUACAUUAUGUUCCCCUCUUUCUUUAACAUCCGAGCUUGUCUAAAUGUGUCAUAGCCAUGAUAAAUUCUUAAUUCUUCUAUGAAGUCUAACGAUGAAUUUUCUAGUAAGUGAAGAUUAGAGGCUAGACGAGUGAUAAGUGAAGUACAUCCUACUGGUCCCUGAAGACUAGGUAUACUAAGCCAAUGUGAAACUAAUAGUGUAACAGGUGAAGUGGGUACUUUACUAAUAGCAGCAUAUAAAAGUUGUAAAUCUCCUACUCUUACUUUCCUAAUAUCAUCACGAUAGAAAAGAUUGUACCCAAGCCAUUUGUGAAACAUCCUAAGAGUGGGGUGUUCCAUGUCACUGGUUCGGGCUUGACUAUAAAAAUUAUCUCUAGAUACUUCUCUCCAAAACUGGUGUUUCUCAAAAUUGGGUAAAUCGGAGUCAAUGUUCAGGAUGCAUCUUGAAGAGAAACCAAGAUGGUCGCUCAACUCUCUCUAGGAUAACAUAAUUUCUUGUUUGCACAUCCGAAAAAACAAUUCCCCCCUCAUAGUAUUGUAAGGUGCAAAGAAAUUCGAGGGUGAGAAGACGAGAACCCAGUUCGGUUAUAUUCCAAAAAUUUGUCCAACCCAUCAUUUGAAAAAUUAAGUCAAAUUCAGUGUCCAUACCUGUUUCUCGUAGUAGGAUUGGAUCGAUAGUAGGGGUGAGAAUGAAAUCUUUGUUCUUCAGUUGCUGAUAGACUUCCUUCUCUCUUCGGGUCUUCAGUCCUAGGUCUCCUAUCUUGAGAAGGACCUUAACUUGAUGACCUGAUGAAGAUGACGGAGCUUGUGUGGGUGUCGGAUCGACACUCAUCUCUGAUGGCUGUGAGGAGUGUCGGGCGGAACUCCUUGUACCAAUGUUCUUGAGAGCCUUCCCUGCAUUCUUCACCUUCUUAAACAUCCUGCAAACAAAAGUUGGCAAAAACACAACUGGUGGAAAAUAUGAGAUAAAAUGUUAGUAGUCAGCCGUCCGGAGUAUCAGUAGUCCAGGGGUUAAUCGUUCAAGACAAGUUUCUAUUUUGGUAGAGCCUCCCCCUAAACAACUUUUACUUCCGCUUAGACAACUACUUACUAGGUGAUAAUCACUCUCUCAAAAGAACUCCAACCUUCCCUUCCACUCUCCUCUUUCUCCCUACUCUCUUCUCUUCACUACAAAAGCUCCUUCUCGGGAGACUGAGAUUUAUGUGGUUUUCUGAAGUGUUUGUGUGAAGAGAAGGGAAGCUGGAGGUGGCCUUUUAUAGGCUGAGCAGGGGACAGGGUGGGCGCCCAAGGUAGGUGGGCGGGCGCCCACCCCUGGUGUCCAUCCUGGGUGUGCCUCCUCCACAUGCUUCCUUGCUUUGAUCUCACGCAGAAUAAUAUUGUGUUGGUAGCGGUUGGACGGUGGAAAGAUGUCAGGUGAGUGGAAACAUAUUGGUGGAUGAAAUUAUGUGAUGGGAUGUAUGUGAGGUGAAGUGUAUGACAUGUGGGACCCAAGUAAUGUGGGUCAUGCUUCUAGAAGAUCAAUAUAAAUAAAUAUAAUGCAGGAAAAUCUAUGAGAAUUGAAACUUAUUGAAAAUGAUAAUGGAAAAUAUUUUUGUGCCUCCACAAUAAUUAAUAAAUAUGGGUUGUUACACACCAUGAAUAUUAUUUAUAUGGGGCUUUUCAUUAUUAUAAUUAUGCUAUGAAUAUAUAUGACUAAUGCAAGAUUUAACUAUGCAAGAAUUUAAAUAUGAGAAACUUAAUAAUGCGGGUAAAUACCGAUUUACCUCCCGGUGAGGGUUUGGGAUUUUUAGGUCCCCCAAGCUGGACCUCCAAAUCUUUUAAUCUUCUUAGUUACCUUCCUCCGGAGAUGGUGUCUUCAGUAGUUCUUCAUGAACUUCCUUCACUGUAGAGUCUCUCUCUGGUCUGGGUUUGAAUGUGAAGUGUUCUUCUUGUCCGUUUAUGUUGAACUUGAUUUCUCCCUUCCCAACAUCAAUGUGGGCAUUGGCAGUACUCAGAAAUGGCCUUCCAAGGAUGAUGGACACCUUCGAGUCAGGACUCAUGUCCAGUACUACGAAGUCUACUGGCACCAGGAAAUCUCUGAUCUUGACUGGAAUGUUCUCGGCGAUGCCCAACGGGUGUCGAACCGAUUGAUCCGCUAGUUGUAGGCACAUUGAUGUUGGUUCUAAGGUUGCAUGAUCAAGCUUUUUGUAGACUGAUGCUGGCAUCACACUGACACUUGCUCCGAGAUCACAAAGUGCAUUGUUGAAGUGUUGGUUUCCAAUCGAGCAAUCAAUAGUGGGGCAUCCUGGAUCUUCCUUCUUCUUUGGUGGUUUGUUGAGGAUGGCCGCACUACAUUCUUCUGUCAGCUUGAUAACCUCAGUGGUGGGCAGUGGUCUCUUCUUGUUAAGAAUAUCUCUGAUGUACUUUGCAUAUGUAGGUACCUGUAUGGCAUCGAGCAGAGGUAUGUUGACAUAUAAUUUCUGAAUGACCUCUACAAACUUACCAAACUGCUCAUCCGACUGCAGUCCUCUGUUUCUUCUGGGAAAUGGCAAAUAGUUGGUGUCGUAAAAAUCUUUCCACAUUUCUCCAUUUCUUGGUAGUUGUAGCAGAUCUUCUGCUUCAACUGGGCUUUUUUCUUCUAUCACUGCUGGUUGCACUGGUGCUGAUGUUCUUUGUUUCUCUUUUGGGUAUGGUGGAUCUUUGGUGGCUUUGCCUCCUCUAGUAGUUAUAUUCUUUACCUGCUCAAGGUUAGUAGCAACAGGCAGUGCAGCAGCUAUCUUUAUUAAUUUAAGCUCUACCUUUUUAUUAAGAGUGUUUUGCUCAUCAAAGGCAGUUAGUAAAUAAUCCAUUUUAUUGUGUAUAUCUUUUAGAGACGAUUCAUUUGUAUCUAGCCUUUGUUUAACUUCAUCAUAAAUUUUGGUUUGUGAGCAAUUAUCUCUUUUAAUGAAAGUUGCUUGAUAGUAUUACCUGAAUUCAUACCUUUGCUAUUGGGUUGACUCGAAGUUGGUUGAUAUUUGUAUGCUGUCUCAAUGGCCCUUUGAUCUUCUUUGAACUUGGCCCUCUGGUCAAUCCAAUGGAGCAAAUUUUCCAUCUUAGUUGAUAAUGCAUUUACUUCUUCUGGUAUUUCUUCAGUUUGAUGACAUUGUUGAGCUUUAUCUUGGAACCAGCUUUGGUUUUCUGCUAUCUUAUCCAAAAGUAUCUCUGCUUUUCCAGUUGUAAGCUCCAAGAAUGAUCCUUUAGCAGAUGCAUCUAGGCACUCACGAGUCUUAUGGGUUAAUCCAUGAUAGAAGGUCUGCAUAAGUAACCAUGUAGCCAUUCCAUGGUGAGGACAAUCUGAUAUGCAUCCUUGAAAACGCUCCCAGGCUUCUGAAAUGGCUUCUGUCUUCUGCUGUUGGAAACUGACAAUAUUUCCUCUUAAGGCAGUUGUUUUGCCUAUAGGGAAAAACUUUGAUAGAAAGGCAUCUGACAAGUUCGUCCAGUUGUUGAUGUUAUCUUGAUGAGUGUAGAACCACUUCCUCGCUUUCCCUUCUAGUGAGAAUGGAAAAAGGCGAAGUAGUAUGACGUCUUUGUCAACUCCGUUGAUGUGGAUUGUGCUUCCAAUUUCUAAGAAAUUCUGCAAGUGCGCACUGGCAUCUUCAUGUGCAUUUCCACUGAAUUGUGUAGCUUGUACCAAAUUGAUGAGGCUUGACUUGAGCUCAAACUCGGGUAUUCCUUCUUCUACUGCAAAUCUUGGACCAGUUGGAAUGUUCUCAAGACUUGGAGCAGAGAAUUCUUGCAAGGUCUUGUGUGCCAUAGCUUCAACAAUUGGUAGCUAUCUUCUUCUUCUGUUGAUUGCUUUGGUUCUCAUGAUGAAGAGUUGAAGGUACCCAAAGUCAAUCCUGUUAUACCCUGUAUAAAAAUAUAAACAUAGAAAAACAACAGGGUGAACCUGCCAAAGCAGAGGUGCCUUGUUAUUAUUUCUCACUUAGUAGCUGUUUUAUGCAAUUAUUUCUCUAUAGUCUAGUCUAAUAUUUUAUAUGAAUAACCUUGACUGAUUUUCUGGCUUCCUUAAUAUUACCCUUUUGUUCCCUUUUAUGACUUAUUCCUGAGAUUCGUAUAAUUCCUAUAAGUCCCCCGGCAACGGCGCCAGAAAUGCUUGUUGACACUAGCUAACACCACUUAGAUACUAGGUUGUCAUCCCUAGCAUGGCGCCAGAGUGUACAAAGGUAUUUAUAAAUGUAAAGGCUCUUUAGAAAAUAAUAUUUAUAAAUGUAAAGGCUCUUUAGAAAAUAAUCUAUUCUAUCCGCAAGCGCACAGAUAAAACACCUCAUUGUAGCAUUUCACCCGGAUAAGUAUUCCAGGUAUCGUUAUUUAUAAUUUUGCUCUAGGGAUCUAAGGAGAUGAAAUUAAAAUAAAAGGGGCAAAAUCUAUCAAGGCAUAGACUAGAGAUAAACUUGCAAGAACAUGAUUACUAAUGAGAAACUCGUCACACAGUCACAUACUUUAGCAGGGGGUAAACCAUAAAGAUAAUGAUAAUAAAGUAUAAGUUCAUGGGAUAAAGAGCACAGCGAUUAGAAAAUAGACUACUCCUCAUAUAUGUAGGUGAUGUCGGAUUAGCUAGAGAAUGGAUUCUAAGUUAUCUACUAACUACUAAGUCACAAACUACUCUAGUUAUCUACAAGAUCAUAUAUAGCAUAAAAGACUCUUCAUUCAUGUAUAAGGAACAUUGAUAAAGUAAAUCAGAACAUCGCAUGACUUACUCCACAAUACCGGUUCUGCCUGUCCUAUCAACGGAGGGUGGACUAUAUAAGAAUCAACGAAGCUGUCACUAUCGCGAACUACCACACGACUCGGCCAAUAGGAUACAUUUGCAGAUAAAUAACAUCUAAGCACCAAGCUCACAUGUGAUCUAUCACCUAACUCCCUCGCGUCAAGAGCUAAGCGCUUUGCAAACUUAUACAUAACUCAUUAUCAAUUAGAACUAUAUCAAAUAUAGAACUAGAGCAAACUAAGAGCAUAAUAAUUAGAGACAUAAUGCAAUUAGAACAAUAGAAUUAGAGAAAGAUAUGAAUAAUACCAAUCUUUAUUACCGAAGAUCCGAAUCCAGAGCGUAGUGCUCUACUUCUCUAAUUGCUAUCUAAUCAACCUCUAAACUUGAAGGAUUAGGGAGUAGCUAAUUCUAAUUCUCUGUGGGAGAGAGAUCUAAACCCUAACUUUGAUGGCUACCUCUGAAUAAUGAUUUCUCCUCCUCUCCUCCAGGGGCCAGGGGGUCUGGUUUUAUAGUCCCCUCAAGUGAACGUGAGCCAUUGGAUCAAACCAACAUAGAUUGUAUGGUUUAGAUUGAUCCUUUAGGUCGGUGGAGUCUUGUCCCGAAGCAGAGUCCUGAUUGGCCUCUUGGCCAGGGCGGGCGCCCAAGGGGGGUGGGCGGCCGCCCAGCUCCCGAGCCCGAUUCGCUUCCCGUUCGUUCCUGUGGCUUCUGGAUCCUUCUAGAUUGAGGAAAAUUGCGCGGCACGUAGUUAUCUCGUUGUAAACAUGACAUGUGGGCCUUCUCUCCAUAUUUUCUGAUAACUCCCUGCAGAAAUAGAUAAACACCAAAGCUCGUGGAAUUCUGUCAGAUAAAACCCUAAUUCUAGAUGUUUGUUUCAUAUUGAUCCUUUUUCAUGUUUAUUUGAUUAUUAAUUUUAGUACUUAAGUACCGUCAACAAGGGGCUCGACCGCCCGCUGCAGCAUCCUGCGUCUCGUCGGUAGUUUCUACUGCCCCGUCGACGUGAUAGCAUUCCCUCGUAGGGUCGUAGCUAUCAGUCUUGGAGUCGGAGUCCGGCUCGACGGCGUAGAAGCAUCCACGUCCCUCCUCCAGCAGCCGUUGCCUGAGUGAGGUGAUCGUGUAUCGCCCAGGGCCUAGGCGGCGGAGGCCUCGCACCUGGGAGAAAUCCGGCAGUUCGGACGUCGGCCGUAGUGUCUUAGAGUCACGUGGGAGGACCAUUGGUCUCUCCACAUACGUCUGAGCAUUUGGGCAUAUUGCUCGGGCAAGCGACGCCAUGGCGUUGUCCAAUCUGAAUGGCAGUGCCCUUCUUGGAGUGAACAACCCGUGCGGAAGUAGCUUAGUAGCGGUGGGGGAGGGCGCGCGAGACACAGAAGUAUAUGCUACUGCUGUAAGCUUAAUAAUUAAUAAAUAAAUAAACACUUGUUAUGCAUGAAAUGGAUAGAAUGAAAUAUGUUUGGUGUAUAUUCGAAGCACUAUAGUAGCUUGCUGGUUUAGUAGUAGCUUGUAGAAGAGAAUGCAAUAGAUAUUUUAUUUUGGCUAUAUAUUCUUGGAUGAUGUUGACUACCUAGUAGUAAUAGUUUCUUAUUUCAUCCAUCGGGACUCUUCUCCACUGGAGAUCAGAUCUGCACAUACUCAUUUAGCACCAUGUCAUGACCAUCCUGCCUUAACUUGCAUAGCACUACACCUCGGGCAUCAUGCACUUCCACUUAUGUGUACAUAUGCAUCAUACAUGCUCGCAGGAGAACGAGGUAGAACCGAGGAGCAUGAGGAGACCCCGGUGUAGGGACUUCCGGAAGAACCAGAGCCACAAGGAGAGCUGCAGGAGUGCCCCAACCACAUGCCUAGCACCUUCAAGAGAGGCAAGCCCCGAAGCAUUCUAAGUCUCCGUAAUUCUCGCUAACUUAUUUUAUUGUAUCAUGUGGGUUUACUUUGCUACAUUCAGUGAUAGGAGUUGCUUGAUACCAUUGAUGCAUAGUUAUUCCUUGGUUUUACCACGUAUUCACCUACCUUGUCCUAAGUAGAUAGGCUCGAAGUCUAUGCUUAGCUUGCUUAGAAGCGGUUGCAAUCGGGUGAUUUCUUGUCACCUGCGAGAUAUAGGUGGAUACCUAAAGGUCUAGCUGUUUGACGCUAUUAUGAGAAGUAACCAAGUGUGGAAAUGAAACUGAGAUUGGGGAGGGUCUUGUGGGGGUGUUGACCAUAGUGCCCCUGCCUGUGUCGAUUAAGGACCUAUCGUUGACGACCCUCUUGUCAUGUUGAAUGCAUGCCCCACACUAGUUGGAAGGAUAAGUCGUUCCGACCAUGAAGCGUGAACACUAUCCGGGCUAGGAGUCAAGCCGCCAUACACUGUUUUGGUGAUGGUUGAGGUGAACGAUGAGGGCACGGCGUGCAACCUUGGUAUGCCUUCGAUACCUGAGUCCCCAGAAGGGUCCUCGGGUACUCGCGGUGCCUAACAAACCCGCGAAUUGGUCCUGGAUAGUGUAAUAUGGUGAUCUGUAGCUCACUUGAUCAGUGAGUGUGGUUUGUGUGGGGAAUAACUCGCUAUCUGGUCAGAAAUCGAUUCGAAUGGCCAUCGCUCCUAGAUAGUGAGCACUUGACGUGAGCCAUGUCCUCAUAGUAAGGACUAUGAAACACUUUGGUUAUGGUAUAUGAUGAUUAUGAAUGCUAUGAUAUGGUACUAUCAUAUUGAAACAACUGUUUGCAAUAGUACAAGUGCUAACCUAGAUGGUAGGUAAUAAUACCUAACUUGAGCUAAAUAAAAGUAGAAGGGUUUUAGGAUAUAUUCCUAGAUGGUUAAAGCUUUUAUGCAAAAAGGGUCUAGCUAUCCCACUAUAUAGCCAUCAUGAUCCUUGAAGACUCUUUUAUUUUUGGUUUAUGACGGGUAAGUCUAGCUGAGUACAUUCUUGUACUCAGGGUUCCAUUACCAUGUUGUUUUGCAGAUGGUCAGAUGUACUAUGGGUAUUGCAUCAACUGCUUGUACCCAGCAAUGGGUGAUGACUAGACCAAGGGCAAUGGUCACUCUACCUCCUCUUUCGCUUUUGUGGGAAUGAUCAGAUUCUGGCACUGUAACAAACUGAGCGUGUGUGUACUUUCGAACUGAAUGCUUCCUCUACUACUGUUGAACUUGGUUUGUAAUAACUAUGUUUGAACUCCGAUGUAAUUUCUGAAUGUUGUGAUCUAGAUGUACUUGUGAAUGGCGAUGGCUGAACUUAUUACGAUCAUGGCUGUAUGUGCGAAAUGUGGUUUGAAAUCCCUCGAGAUUUUAUGGACUAUCAGGAUUAUAUGGGCUUAAGCCUGAUGGUUUGACUACGCAAGUGGUCGCUGUCAUGCUUAAUCUCUUACAAUUUGCAUGGUUCUGUUACAGCUAGCAUCGAAGCAAGGUUUAGCAGAUUACUAUUCAUAAGUACGUUCUAAAGCAAAUUUAAAAAUGUAUAAUAAAAACUAAUUCCCUAUUAAUGAUAAUUAAGGUGUUAAAAUGAGUAUUUGGAAAAUUAUAAAGUGUGCUAGUAGUCAUAUCCUUUUUGCCUAGUUAUGGACUCUAAGGUGGCUAGUUAAGUACUGACUUGGGGGUUGUGCAUCAUAUUUCUAUUUCGUCGCUCAUACAUCAUGCAAUAGUAUGAGUGCCAUUCACUUGAGUAGUAAUGUAUGGAUCAUUUUUCCUCUACGCCUUGGUAAGUGAGAGCUGUGAGAGCAUGAUUGGAUACACUGUCGGUCUAGGGAAAUGCUUUAGGGUGCUGUGCCAUGCACUCAAAUCUCGUUUGCCUGGGGACAGUGCCGCAUGAUGGGUGAUUCCGUCCUGAGAGGCGAUGCCGUCGCUAGGGCGAUGAUGUGGGUGUUGACACUUGCUAGCACCACUUGAAUACUAGGUUGUCAUCCCCAGCAUGGCACUAGAGUGUACUUUGGUAUUUGUACACACAGAGAUAAAUCUGCAAGCGCAUGGAUACCGUUGUAGCUUUUACCCGGUUAAAAGUUUUAUCGUAUCCACAGGAAAACAGGAGAACUGAUCUAUGCUCUAACUUAACAUAGAUAGAUAGGUAGGUGUAAAUAGGAAAGAUGGUAGAAUUGAAUAAGAACAAUAUUAAAGGUAAGAUAACAAUGUGUGAUAAUAGGGGAAUAGAGAGUAGAGCAAUCUAGUAUAUGGGCGAUGGUAGGAGAAUAGAGAGGAUAACUUUGGUUUCUCUACUUCAAAGGGGUAUGUCUAUGUCUAGGACGAACCACGUGAUAAGAAUACAUCACAAAGGAUGCUUAUCCAUAUGCCGAUAAACCCAACCAGUCCUGCUAAUGGGAGGUGGACUACAGAGGACCAACAUAGCUAUCACAUAUGCGGCCUACCACAUGAUCCGGCAAGACAGGGGAUAUCCACAAGUAAUCUAGGUCUAAGCACCAAGCUUACACCUAUACUACAACUCUAACCUAUAGGGUCCUAUAGAUUAAAAGUACUCAAAAGAGUUGUGAACCAGAACAUACAAGAAUUGUAAUUGCAUAAUGAGAUAGAAGUAGAUUACUAGAGUCAUCCCAUGAGCAAGCUUGAUUAGAGCUUGAUCAUGGCGAAGUACAACCGGAGGAAGAACCGACAGGCCGGCCUCUCCUUCAAUCCUCCCUCACUCUCCAUCUUGCUACUAUCUAGAUCUACUCUAGUUUAGAUAUGAGAGGAGAGCUCACAUCUCCAAACCCUAUCUUUUGCUUUGUGUAUGAAUAAUGAAUAAGGAUGAAGGGGUUGUCUCCACCAGGGGCCAGGGGUCCUGCUUAUAUAGUCCCAUCAAGUGAACGUGGGCCGUCGGAUCAAACCAACCUUAAUAGCAUGGUUUUCCUUAAUCCUUUAGGUCGGUGGAGCAUAAUCCGCGAGGCGGAGCCUGAUUGGCUCCUGUAGCAGGGCGGGCGCCCAAGUGGGGAGGGCGGGCGCCCUGUCCCCGAGCCCGCUCGGCUUGUCGUUCAUUCACGUGGCUUCUGGAGUCUUCUAGAUGAUAGAAAAUUGCACGGCACGUUUAUCUCUAUGUAAACCCGACGUGUGCCUUUCUUCCAUGUUUCCUGAUAACCCCCAGCAGAAAUAGACAAACACGAAAACUUGUGGAAUUCCUUGUAUGACUCUCUCAAAUCUCUCUUUUGUGGUAUUUUUGGAUCCUUACCAAGGCAGUAAUGGUAUAUGCCUUCUCUCAAAGUAUGUGGUAUUUUUGGUAUGAGGCAUAGUGAUAUUGCCUUCUCUCUCACCCUACUCUAAUAAGGUUUUGAUAUCUCGAGCUCAUAGGUGGGAGAUAAAGCAUACAUACUUAUAAGACAUUUAUUGUAUAGUCAAACCAUGGAUCCAGAGAAACAAGUCAAUAAGUCAAAUCAAGAUGUGCAUGUGUGGCGAAUGAAUGGUGUAUGGUGAUGCUGGUGAUAAUGGUGAAAACAAUAGUGAAAGUCUAAUUCAACGUUUCCUCUUUUGAGGGGAUACAUACCUUUCUUGCACUUUGGAGCUUUUUGAGGGGAAUGAGAUGCUCUAUAUUUUCUUUUUCUUUUCUCUCAGGUGGGUAUCUUGUAGCCCUAAUUCUAAUGUCGGACACUUGUCCAUUUUUACCUCUCGUCUCACUUUUUCUUUUUUUCUUUUUUUUUGAGGUUCCGGGUACUUGCCCCUUUUUAUUUCCUCGUAUUCACUUUCUUUUUUUUCAGAGCACUCACCCUCCUGGAAUAAUGUAGCAAGUGGUAUAACCAAAAUAUCUCGAGCAUUUAUUUCACGGGAAAAAACAUAAAUGGGAUAAUGUUUUUGGCUAUUCUCUCCCGGUUAGGAGUAGAAUAAUUUUGGGUGAAUCUGGAGAUGGAAAUGAGUGGAUGUAUGUGGAUGCGUACUUUCGGAGUAGAAGCAGCAUGUAUGAGUGAACGUGCAAGUGAAUCUUUAUUUUAACCGCAUGACAAGCUCCUAAGGGUCUACACAGCUUGACCACACUCAAUGCUCAUAAGCAGUAAAAAGUAAAUAUAGGGUUCAUAGUCUAAUAAGCAUGUAUAUGUGGCUGUGGUAGGAUUUUAAACUCUCAUCAUACAGGAACUCAUCAUGCAACAUUUUAAAGAUUUUCAAAGAUAAAAAUUCUCCAGAAUUCUAGCAUCUCUAGGAAUAGAUAAACAACAGCUCAACCUUCCCAUAUCAUAUCCGUUAAUGACUUAGACUUUAGAUCAAGUACUCUUUCCACGAGAUCAGGUUGAGAGCAGAUCUUAAUUCAUAACAGUCAUGCCUAAACUUGAGAGAGAAUUCAAUUUUGAGAACUAGUCAUGGCAGAGCAACUAUUCAUCAUUUCCAUGUGAGAGCUUAUCAUGAGAGUUCAUAGCAAACAUUAUUUAUUUAUUUAUUUAGCAAACUAAGCAAAGAUAUAUAUGUAAACACAAAAUCUUUAUUUGGGUUUUUAUGAUUAUGUAUCUUUUAAUUAUUUGAGUAAAAUAUAGACAUGAGUAGAAACACUUAGCUGGAUAAAUGGGGGUGCUCUGCCCCAAGCUAGAUUUUGACGUAAUUUCUUCUGAUGUAGCUAACAGGUGGCGGAGGUGUAUUUGAAUGUCGGCAACACCCUAACAGCGAUUAGGAUGUCCUCCGUUUGCUAGUCUUCUUUGAUCCUUGAAUUCUGUGGAGCUCAAAUAGACAACAAAGCUUUGUGGAGCUAGUUAAGUGUUAGCAUAAAAUCUCUUUGCUUUUAUCAUGUUGAGCUUCCUCUAAUAAAUAUUACUCUCUUUGGUAGGAUCAUAAAUUUAUUUUUAUAUUUUCAUUUCUAUAGGAUAGGAAUAUAUUUAUUUUAUUUUUACGCCACUACGGUUAAUGUACUUAUGGGUUUUAUGCUACGAGCAUACUCACAUGGGGCUUACAAUUUUUAACAUUUUUAUUUUCUUUUCAAGAUAGUAUGAUUAACUAACAAGCCAUUUAAGGAAAGUAAAUAGUUUAGGGGAAAAGGGAAUGCAGAAAGGAUAAAUAUGGAUAACUACCGAUUUUUCCUUUCGGCGAGGGUUCAAUGUUUUAAGUCUUCUGAACAAGACUUCUCACCGUGUUCAUUCUUUAGGUGCGUCAUUUGAUUCACGUGUGGACCUUGACGUCUACUUCUCUUGAUACGGUGUCACCCAUGUUCUUUGUUUGCCCAGUAGUUCGAAGUGCGGCGUUGGCAGUAUCUUGCUCAGUGUGUUUGUGCUCGUAGAUCCACGUCCUUCACUUGGUAGAGUCUGGGAUUUGAAAAAUCCUCCAUGUUUCUCAAAACGUGUCCUGCUCAUAGAGACAAGGCAGAGAUCAAGUGCAUGGGUCCUGUUGGUGGAAAACACCAACAAAACCAAAAGUAUAUUUGUUCUUCUCUAUCCUUAAGUAUAGGGAGCAAGACAAAGUUGAUGGGUGAUAAGUUCAUGAGUGUAGCAUUUAAAACAUUUGUCAGAUCAGAUCGCUUAAACUUAUGGAAAGAAAAUCUAUCUAUGUAUAUGUUUUUUUUCUUUAUAUCUUCCCAAAGAUUGAAUGUGCAACAUUUUAGCUCAUAUGAUUAGGAGUGUAGGAUUAUGGAGGUAGUACUACGAACAAAGAUUAAAGGACUAAACAUACUGAAUCAGUAAGGUUGGUUAAUUUGGAGUUAUAAAUCAUACAUGUUUGUCUCUUUAUUUAUGUGAAUGCCAGAACCAAGGAGAAGCUUAUAAAAGUGAUAGACACAUAUCUUAAGAUUUUACCAUAAUUGAAGAGUGAUGGUACAAUAUCACCUUGUGGAAGCUUUCCUUUCUUACCGGUUGUGCAUCAUGUUUAUGGCACCCUCCAUGGAUCAUCUCUUAUGAGCUACGUAUUCCUUGUGUAAAUUGUUAAACUUGAUGUGUCUCUCCCUUUGUCUCCAAUGUGAGUUUAUCUUAGGACUUCCCAGGUCGAUAUUGAAAGUUUUCAUACAGGGUUUAGUCCAACAAAAUAUCCAGUAUCUACUGUAGCAUACUAUCGGCUCAAAAAUGAACCUAGACACCAUGUCUAAUUUGAUUUAGGAGGGCACUUUAACCUAAGCAUCAUGCUUAAUUUAAAAUCCCUUGGAAGUAAGAUCAUCAUUCCUAAACUAAGCACCAUGCUUAUUUAAGAGAUAAAUGAAACUACUCCAAACCUAGACAUCUCUACAACUAAAAAUUAUGAAAAGGACCCAUCUACCACACUCAUGGUGAAGCCACAACUCCCAUCACUUUUAUCCAUGAUAGGCUAUGCCAUCAACCUAGGCCCCACUCACCCAUGCAUGCAAAAUUGUUUUAGUGAAUUUAAAAAAGUCAUAACUUUUAAAACGAAGAUAUACAUUAAAUUUCGAUUGCACCAUUAAAUUUCUCAUAACAAAUCCUUCAAAACAAGAUCACACAUGGAUAUAUUUAAAUAAAAUUUUAUUAAUAAAUAUUUAUCUCUACAACUAAAAAUUAUGGAGAUGACCCAUCCACAACUUCCAUCCCUUUGGUGGUCUUUUUUACUGUGCGAUGACACGCUAUCCCAUCAACCUAAGCCCCACUCACCUAUGCAUGCAAAAUUGUUUUAGCGAAUUCAAAAAAGUCAUAACUCCUAAACUAGAGAUAUAAAUUAAAUUCUCAUUACACCAUUAAAUUUUUUAUAACAAAUCCUUCAAAACAAGAUCACACAUGGAUAUAUUUAGAUAAAAUUUUAUUAAUGAAUAUUUAUCUUAUAAAGAUAAAAUAUUUUCUUUUAUUAAGUAGAAACAAUAUUCUAGGUUCAACUAACAAUGUUCUGUCUUUGUAAAAAAAAUAUUAUCGAUUUAGAAGAAUAAUAUUUGGGUUUUAGGUUUAUGAAAUUGAUAUUACAAUAUACAUAAAAAUACAUAAAUACAUGACAUGGAUAAAAACAAUAAAAAAACUAGAGUAAAAAGCAUAAGAACAAAAAUAAAAACACAAAAUGGAGAAAAAUUUCAAAAAAUAUCAAAGGGUUACUUUUCGAAUGUAGUAAAUAUAUUUAUAGACCAUUAACAUCACUAAAUACAUCAUAGAAUAUCAUUAAAUAUAUUAUAGAACAUCACAUCUAUUAUAGAUUACAUGUAUACUAAGUGAACACUAUAAGAAACAUCAUAGAACAUCACAUAUAUACUUCGUAAACAUGACAUAACACAACACAGAACACUAAAUAUAUACUACAUAAAUAUCACAUAUAUAUAGAAAAUAAAAAUAAAAAAUAAAAUUACUAUGAAAAAAAUAUAAAAACAAACAUAAUUAACAAAUGAUAAAAAGUGCAUAGAGCAAAUAAAAUUAAUGAAUAAUUUAAAUAAGGAUAAAAAUAAGAUUAAAAGGAAAUAAAAUAUAAAAUAAGAAUGAAGAAACAUAGAAAAACUGAAAAGAAAAAAGAAAAACAAAUAGAAGCAAGAAAGAACAAUAAAAAUAAAACCAAAAGAAAAAUAAAAUUAAAGGUAAAAUUAAAACAAGAAAAGAAUGAGGAAAGGACAAAAAAUAAAAUAAAAUAAAAUCUAAAAACAAAAACUGAAAGAAUGAAAAAGGAAGAAUAUAGAUAGAAAAAAUAAAAUAACAAUCAAGAAAUAUAGAGUAUGUGGAUUUUAAAAUCCGUAACAACGUACGGGCAUUAACCUAGUAUACUAAAGCAAAUAAAGGUAGCAUGAGAGCAUUUAUAGAGAUCUACUCAAGUGGAGAUGAAGUAGUGUGAUUAGUAUUUAACAAAUUGAGCAUGUCUCAAAGGUAGGGACAACCAACAUAGCAACAUAGCAAAGGAUGUUUUUAUGUAAAGUACUCCCCCAAGCUUGAAUUUUGCAAAAUUCAAGUUUGGAUUUAAUUCAAUGUUGUAUGAUGAUUGGUUGGACAUACCUUGCGCUUGUCAUUCAUCCAAUCUUCUUGCUCCAAUCCUAAAAAGGUUAGUGACAAGAAUACCCGAAGGAAUAUUUUUUACAAUUAUCCUUAUAUACUCAAUACACAAGGUAAUGUUGUAAAAAAGCUCAUGUUACGAUCUGAUCAGUGCUUAAUUUAGGACACUAAGCUUGUCCUUGUGAAACCAUCAAUUUAUGUCGGCGAAGUGGUUUCCCUUCCAACGCUAACCUAUAUCAACAUCAACUCAACGAGAUCUGCAAUAUUUAUUAUAGACAUAUGCAUCGACAACCGCCCUUUUAAAGUUUUUGUAAAUAGAAAGGAAGAGGGGUCAGAUAUCUCAAAUGUGGUGAUGUUGGAGAAACCAAUAGAUUGGGAAGAUGUUGCAUAUGAGCAUGGAAUAAACGAAGUGGCUUUGAAAUAAAUUCCAUGCUCAUUAAUGUUAUCUUCAUCUCC
rnacentral:lncRNA from 1 species